rnacentral:lncRNA from 1 species
GCCAAUUUCUUCACAUAGUACAAUGUGUCCUUCAACAAAUCUUCAUACUUUAAGAACAAUACUUUAUCAUGUCUCUCUACAUCAUGACUUGCUUCCCAAUACCCCAACACGUGAUUCCAGUAAGGUCCAUAAAACAAUUUGCCUUCACAAAACCACUUGACUUGGUGUUCAAGUGUAAGAAUAUUUGCUACUGAUUCAUCUUGGUCAAAUACCUUUUGACUGAAUCUCCACAAAGAAAUUAAGGUAUCUUUGGGUUCUCUGCAUAUGUAAAUGAUCUUGCAAUUGGAUUCUAGUAUGGAUGGUGGUAAGUGACUGUAAGGAACAUGUGUGGAUAAUAAUGGCAACUCUGUGUCUACAAAUUUAGGGUUGGAGAUAAAAUCAACUUCCAAAAAAGGUAGGCAAUCAUGGGGUACCUUAUUGAGUAAAGGGUUAUUUUUAGAGUCGUCAUCAUGAAAAAUAUGUCUAGUCAUAACGGAAAAGGUUAAAGCUUUAAGCCAAGUGGUGCCUGUUUUCAUAGCACUGCAAAGGAAACUAUCAGAGGGUCGAGCCUUGAAGUUUUCUUGCAUAUAUAAAAUUACUUGUAAGAACUGUAUAGGGUACCAAAAUCCUUGAUAUUGGUAACAUUUAUAACCAGGAUAGGAAGGCUCUAGUUUGGGGAGGGUUGAUAUUAUAUCUUUGUAUUUUUCACACAUAUUCUUGAAAUUUUCUGAUCCAUAGCUUGCAGAUAAACGACUAGCGUUGCAAGGGAAAUUAGAGGGACUCAUUUUUUGAAGAUUGGGAAAGUGAGGAUUAAAAAAAGAAAAUACUAAGAAACAACUUCUUUAUUGAUAAAGAACAGAAGUUUGGUAGUAUAUUGCCAAUAAGUCCUUUACUCAUCCAUGAUCCUACACUAUAUCAUCAUAUCUCUACCACUCUAUCUACACCACAGAUUCAUAUACCCUUUGUUAUGAUAGGUUGCUUUCAUUGACAACAAGGAAACAAGACUCACAAACCAUAAGUAUGAAUUAUUGAUAUGUAGGACGAUUUCAAUAAUGGAAAGGACCUGAUCGACAACAGGUCGAUGACCAAUAUAACAUAUCAUUAGCAAUAUGAAAUUCUGCAUUACCAACCUAGCUAAUUUAUGUAUUCCUAAUAUAUUGGUUGGUUUAAUGUUAUUCAACUCUCAAUACCUACAGGCGAAAAGGACACUCUGUAGCACUUUUUAAAACAAAUAGUGUAAGUUUGAUAUUUUUCCAAAAAGUUAUCAGUCGGUAUAUUAUUUCCACUUUAUAAUUGUUUCAUAAUUUGGGUAAUUUUGGCUCAUGUAGUUAAGAUACAAUACAUAUACGAUACUGAUACAGUACAUAUACAAUAUUGAUAUAAUUUUCAACUUGACCAUUCGGUCCUUUUAAAAAUAUUUUAAUUUUUUUUGCUAUAAAUUUUUUAACUGAAAAAAAUAUUUCAGUUUUUUUUUUUCCUAUAAAUUUUUAACUGAAAAAAUAUUCUGUUUUUUUUUUUAUUGUUUAGAAAUACUACUAAUAAUUAAAUGUAAUUAUAUAAAAACAAUAUAAUUGUUAGAUAGAAUAUGUAUCGAUAUAAGAUAUAUGUAUAGGAAUUGUAUAGUUCUAUCAAAUAUAUAUAUGUAUAAAAUAUAUAUAAAGUGUAUAAAAAUUAUAUAAUGUUGUAUAAAAUGUGUAAAAAAAAGUACAAUUAUUGUGUAGAUUGUGUAUCGAAACUGUAUAAUUUAUGUAUAAAAUAUUUAUAUUUAUAAGAUAUGUAUAGAAACUGUAUAGAAAGUGUAUAAAAAUGAUAUAGAACAAGCCAGCAAAUUAAAAUGGCUAGAAAGUGGAAUUUAAAUUCCAUGACCAUUUUGGUGAAAAUAGUUUAAUUUGAAGUGUUGUAUCUGUCCUUUCCCCUCACUAAUGGAGCUUUUGGAUCACCACAUUAGAUUUUGCAUUUCUAUGUCAAAAAAAUAUACAAGCAAGAUAGAUUCAUGUAUGCAAAUGAGUUUAUGCAGCUCUAAAACUUAAAAAAGAACUGCUUCCAAAGACCAUCAGAAAGAAUGGAGGGCUUUACUUGGAAAGUAAUGUAGAGAACUAAAAUGAGAAAAAACCGUAAGGACCGUUGUACGGAGCGGCCCAUGAGCUAGCCCAAUUCAUAUUGUUCAAGUCCCACGGGCCACGGACUUAUUCGGGCCGGUUAAAAGGCUUUGUUCUUAAAUGAGUUGCAAAAACUGCCUAUUUAUCAAAUUAUUGGUCGGAUCGAAUUCGCCCAUCGGGCUUGGCCCAUAUUGAUGAUAUUGAUUGCUCUACUAAAAACAAAUGGAUUUAUGGCACUUUUCAUAUUUUAGUUUGCAAUUUAUUUUAAAAAAAAACAUUAAUUAGAGAUUAAUUUAACUAACUUAUCUUUAUUUAUCACUCCUUCUUUAAUAUUAAUCAUUUACACUAUAUUAUAUGUUUUGUCAUAGUUAUGACUAAGACUAAAGAUGAUAAAAAACAAGUAAUUAUGUCUUGAUUUUCUAAAAUGACAAGUACAGAGUAACUAUUUUUAGUAAGAAUGACAAGUAUUCAGAAAUGAAUGAGUACCGUAUGUAUUAAAAUAAAUAUAAUAAAACUCAAAUUUUUACUGUAUAUCGUAAUUUCUUUAGACCCUCGUCGUUUUGGAUAAAUAGCGGACAUAUAUUUACUUUGUGAGGUAAUUUUCCUAUUUUUUGUUUCUAUGAUUAUUUGUACUUAUUAAUUACUAAUUUUAUUUUAUUAGUUUUUUUUCUAUGUUUACUUUUACUUAUUAAUUGAUAAUUAUAUUUUAUCUUUUUAUUCUUUCAUUUGGUGGAAUUAUAUAGAUUAUGUUGUUGUUAAUGUUAUGUUUUGUCUUUUUACUCUACUCUUUUCAUAAUGACUAUUCCAUAUCUGUUUGUUUUUUAAUGAUAUAAUAAGUUAAAUUUUCAGAUUCAUAUAUAUGAUCUUUAUUGAGAUUGGGUUGGUGUUCAGUGUACCCUAUUGUAUUCGUCUCUUCUCCUUCUUGUCCUCUUGUACUUCCGUCCUUCUUAUUCUUCGAAAUAGUAGAAGUCUGACCUUCCCAUCUUACUAGUUAUCCGUGGUUUGUGCGAAGUCCGAGCUCAAAUUCUAAAUAUAAAAAUAAUAAUAUUUUAAUUUAAACUUUUAAUUUAUAUUAUAUUCUUUUAAUGCAUAAUUAAUAAAACUUAAUGACAUGUUAAAAUAAAUUAUUCAUAAUUUUUCAGUAUUACUAAAUUUUACCAAAAGUUAUAGUAAAAAAAAUUAUAAAGAGUAGUCUAAUUGGUUUUUUUAUUCAUAGUUAUAGUAUUUUUAGUUUUGAUAUACUCCUUAUAAAAUUAUUUUCAUCUAUAAAUAAAAGUAAUCUUCAUUACUCUACCUUAAUAAAAGUACCAAUUUAAUAUAAAGUUUUGGUUAUGUACAAAUUCAGCUGUCUUAAAUUUGAUUUUAAAAUUUGCUACUCCAUCUCAAUUUAAAUAUCUUACAUUUUUUUUAUAUGUUCCAAAAAGAGAGGCUUUUUUCAUAAUUAGUAUUAGUACCUGCGCGAUGCACGGUCGAUAUUAAAUCAAAUUAAUUAAAUGGAUUAAAUGGAGUGAGCAAAAUAAUAAUAUUAUGGAACUUAAAAAAGGAUCAAAUAAAAGAAAUAGAGAUCAAAGUAGAUCUUUAUGUCUAUAAUUGGAUAUUUAAUGUUGCAAUUAAAACAUUUUAUGUGUUCAACUUAGGUGUUGGACACGUAUUGUACUUUUGUGGGAAGAUUGGACAUGUUUAUAGUGAAACAGAGAAUGCAUGGAUGAGAAAUUUUCUAAGUCUACUACACGUAUUUAUUAAAAGUUAAUUGGAUGAUAUGAGAUAAGCUCAAGUAAAAGUACCAUUUACAUAGCUCGAUGACAGAUCUUCACAAUAUUAUACUUUUAAUAUAAAGAUCAACAAGCAAAGAGAAAUUAAAGAUAAAUUAUGGUAUAAAUAUAGAAGGUGAUUCCAACCCAAGUUCGUGAGUACAACCAAAAAAUGUCCAUCCUCACUUAUAUUAAAUUUAAGUAGUAUAGUAAUAAUGUUAGGACCAUUCAAACAAGCUUCUAUAAUCUCAGAUAAAACCAAAUGACCCCAAGUAAUGAAUUAUUGAUCAUUAAGGACAAUUUCAGAAAUGGAUAGGCCAAACAAACCAAAGUAAUGAAUUAUUAAUUAACCAUUCUUAAUUAAAAGACACAACUCAAAACCCCAAAUUUAAUAUUCAGAAACCAAAAAAAUAAAACCCCUCCUCACAAGGUGAAACCAAAAAAAAAAUAAAAAGAAAUUAUCCUUCUCCUAGCUUUUAUCUUGUCCCAACGUGAAACCAAAAAAUUAUUAAAUAAAAUUAAAAAAAGUUUCCUCCCCCAAGCUGACGCAUUUUGUCAAAUAAAAGAAAGAAUUUCCAUCUCCCAUGGAUUUUAACAUCACCUUUUCAUGUAAAAUAGGAAUAAGAAAAUUCAAAAAUUCUUUCACUUUUUCUGUAUUGUUGAUUGCUGCUUGUUCAUUAACGAUGUAAACACAAUAUUAAUUGUUAUGUCAAUAAUUUAGCAUAUAUUCUUAAUUGAUCUAAUUUGUGUUAUUAGUUGAUUUAAUGUUAUUAAUUGAUUAAUUUGAAUUUCUUGUUGGAUCUAUUAAUAACUGUCGUUCUUCCUUGGUUAAAUAUACUAAAACAACUUACAUAUUCAGGUAUAGUUUACUCAACUCGUCACUUUUUCUUUAACGAUUUAAACACAAUAUUAAUUGUUAUGCCAACAAUUUAACUUAUAUUCUUAAUCGUGGAUAGGCCAAACAAACCAAAGUAAUGAAUUAUUAAUUAACCAUUCUUAAUUAAAAGACACAACUCAAAACCCCAAAUUUAAUAUUCAGAAACCAAAAAAAUAAAACCCCUCCUCACAAGGUGAAACCAAAAAAAAAUAAAAAGAAAUUAUCCUUCUCCUAGCUUUUAUCUUGUCCCAACGUGAAACCAAAAAAUUAUUAAAUAAAAUUAAAAAAAGUUUCCUCCCCCAAGCUGACGCAUUUUGUCAAAUAAAAGAAAGAAUUUCCAUCUCCCAUGGAUUUUAACAUCACCUUUUCAUGUAAAAUAGGAAUAAGAAAAUUCAAAAAUUCUUUCACUUUUUCUGUAUUGUUGAUUGCUGCUUGUUCAUUAACGAUGUAAACACAAUAUUAAUUGUUAUGUCAAUAAUUUAGCAUAUAUUCUUAAUUGAUCUAAUUUGUGUUAUUAGUUGAUUUAAUGUUAUUAAUUGAUUAAUUUGAAUUUCUUGUUGGAUCUAUUAAUAACUGUCGUUCUUCCUUGGUUAAAUAUACUAAAACAACUUACAUAUUCAGGUAUAGUUUACUCAACUCGUCACUUUUUCUUUAACGAUUUAAACACAAUAUUAAUUGUUAUGCCAACAAUUUAACUUAUAUUCUUAAUCGAUCUAAUUUGUGUUAUUAGUUGGUUUAAUGUUAUUAAUUGAUUAAUUUGAAUUUCUUGUUGGAUCUAUUAAUAAUUGUCAUUCUUCCUCGGUUAAAUAUACUAAAACAACUUACAUAUUUAGGUAUAGUUUACUCAACUCAUCUAUUUUUCUUCAUUCUACAUCAUGCACUAAUGCUAUUCUAACUCUUUUUUUAGAAACAAAUUCAAUUAUAGAAGUUGUUGUAAUUAGUACAUUGAAGUCAUGUCCAUAAUAAAAAUUCCUGAUCAUAGAGAGUGAUCCAACUAAAGAAUAUAAUAAAUUCUAACUCCCUUUUUAGAAACAAAUAUAAUUAUCGAAGUUGUUGCAAUUAGUGCAUUGAAGACAUGUCAAUAAUAACAAUUCCUGAUCAUAGAGAGUGAUCCAACAAAAGAAUAUAAUAAAGCAACAACGGAUAUUCGAAAGCUUCUAAAGUUAGUUGAUGAAGAGGUCAGAAUUUUUUUAAUUCGUCUUUAAUUUUUUUUUAUUAUAUAUUUUUACAUUCAUUAAAAUUAAUACCUCCACAAUAUUUUAGUGCACAAAACUUGAUGCUAUACUUUUCAAUGAUAAAAUCUAAAAUAGAGAACAUUAUCAAAACAAGGCAAUUUUUGUUAUAUCAUAAACAAUAUUUAAUUUUAAAUAAUCAAACUUUACACAUGCAAGACACGUGUAGUUAUACUAGUUAUAUACAAAUGCUCUUGCAAUAAUAUAUUUAUUUAUUUAUCGAACACUAAAAAAUAAAUAAUAAAUCACACUAUUAUUUCGGACCAAGACAUGCAUAGAAUUAUUCACUGAAGAACUGGUGCUUAACCAUAUUUCAAAAAAGCAAAAAAAUGUUACUUUCAAACAACGAAUUAAUCAAGCUAAGAGUGUAAUACGGGCAGAAGCUGAGUCAGGGUUUCAACUAAGGGGGUUUAAUAUUCAAAGAAAACUUAGUCGAAGGAGGUUCAACACCUACUAUAACCACAUAAAAAAUAAUUUUAAUCAUGUAAAUAAUAAAUUUUUCCGUCGAAGAAGGUUCGGCCGAACCCCCUAAAGAAGGCGAGCUCCGCCUCUAUAUACGGGUGCAGGUGAUGAUCCAAAUAUAUGAGGAAAAGUAAUGUAUUAUUGUAACACCUCGAUUUUCUGAACCGAAAUGCUACACGGAGCUCAUGACCCCGAGGGACCACAAGCUAACCUAUGACUGAUAUCUGUACCUGUACACUGCAUAAUAUAUAUAAUGCGGAACAAAGGCUGAUAGGCCAUGAUGUUCAAACUGAAUAUCAAACAUCUGGUGGGGUAUAAAUACCCAAAACAACCUGAAAUACUAUCUGAAAACAUGAUAGUCUAAAAAACCUCUAACUGUCAGAAAAGAGAGUUGAUGGGAUAUGUCCCCAACUAACUCCGAUAACUAAAUAAAACCGAGUACUGCAACGAUGAAACAGAAUAAUAUGUCCUCGGAUGAUGAGGGAUCACCAUUGACGCUGAAAGCUGAAACUGAUCAACUACUGCUGCUAUGGAUCUCGUGUCUCGAAACCUAUAGUGUAACAUAAAAGAAAGCACCAUAGCGCAAAUGCGUCAGUACAACUAAGAGUACUGAGUAUACGAGUGAGGUAGGCUAUAUGCUAUGGGUUACAUGCAUAAACAAUGCUAAAUAACUGACUAAUAUGAAUGUGAGAGUACAUGCAAAAUUAUGAGACCGAGACUGAUAUCGUGAUACAUGAAUACUGAAUCUGAUCUGACAUGGUACUGAUAACUGAUAACUGAUAUAACAUGGACGAAUGUGUCCGACAGUCCCGAUUCUGAUGAAACUAGCUGAGUUCCGUAUUGUAUCUGUAUUGACAGUAUCUAUCAUUCCUAAAGUCUGAAGAACUAUCUGAGUUCUUUUACUGAUGCUGAGACUAAAACUGUGGGAAGUAGUAGCUUAACCGACAUGCCCCAUGUAUGCUAAUAUAGCUGAACUGGGGUCUAAUCUUUACCCUGAUUGGAAGGGUGUCAAUACCGUGCCACGGGUAAAGACAAGCUGUGAGUGACCCUCAAAUUUGGAAGUGUCCCUAAAAGAGAAUGGCGGAUGUCCUCCUCAUCAACCCUCAAGCUGGCAGUGUUGAUGUCUCAACCUAUGCUGUCUUCAUAGUUCUGGAACACAAGGAUUGAUUCUAGAAAUCACACCCUCAUCUGAAGCAGGUGAGUUCCCAUCCUUGGGUUCACUUGGUGCUAACUUCUAUCUGAAGAGACUGAACAUGAUUGACUAAACUGUACAUGAGCUGAGUUUCCUGGAUUCCGUUGACUGACGGAAUGCUACUGAUAUCUGNNNNNNNNNNNNNNNNNNNNNNNNNNNNNNNNNNNNNNNNNNNNNNNNNNNNNNNNNNNNNNNNNNNNNNNNNNNNNNNNNNNNNNNNNNNNNNNNNNNNNNNNNNNNNNNNNNNNNNNNNNNNNNNNNNNNNNNNNNNNNNNNNNNNNNNNNNNNNNNNNNNNNNNNNNNNNNNNNNNNNNNNNNNNNNNNNNNNNNNNNNNNNNNNNNNNNNNNNNNNNNNNNNNNNNNNNNNNNNNNNNNNNNNNNNNNNNNNNNNNNNNNNNNNNNNNNNNNNNNNNNNNNNNNNNNNNNNNNNNNNNNNNNNNNNNNNNNNNNNNNNNNNNNNNNNNNNNNNNNNNNNNNNNNNNNNNNNNNNNNNNNNNNNNNNNNNNNNNNNNNNNNNNNNNNNNNNNNNNNNNNNNNNNNNNNNNNNNNNNNNNNNNNNNNNNNNNNNNNNNNNNNNNNNNNNNNNNNNNNNNNNNNNNNNNNNNNNNNNNNNNNNNNNNNNNNNNNNNNNNNNNNNNNNNNNNNNNNNNNNNNNNNNNNNNNNNNNNNNNNNNNNNNNNNNNNNNNNNNNNNNNNNNNNNNNNNNNNNNNNNNNNNNNNNNNNNNNNNNNNNNNNNNNNNNNNNNNNNNNNNNNNNNNNNNNNNNNNNNNNNNNNNNNNNNNNNNNNNNNNNNNNNNNNNNNNNNNNNNNNNNNNNNNNNNNNNNNNNNNNNNNNNNNNNNNNNNNNNNNNNNNNNNNNNNNNNNNNNNNNNNNNNNNNNNNNNNNNNNNNNNNNNNNNNNNNNNNNNNNNNNNNNNNNNNNNNNNNNNNNNNNNNNNNNNNNNNNNNNNNNNNNNNNNNNNNNNCAUACCUUAGAUGGAAGAUUCUUGAUGAUUAACGGUGAAAUCCUUUGAACUUGGGUCUUCAAAUUGAAGCCCUUUCUCUUGUUCUUGAGAGAAAAUGAUGAAAAGGGAUAUAUUUUGGUCCAAAUGAGCCUUAAUACUGUGUUUGUGUAUAUAUGUAGGGUGGGAAAAAAUACUAAAAUACCCCUAAGGAAAGGGAGAAAGACGCAGCUGUCCCUCUGUUGACAGUUUUGAUAUGCUGAAGUAAAUUGAUCAUAAAUUUUUACUCCGACGUUGGAUUUGGAUGAAACUAAUUGCAUAGAAAAGAAGAUUCAAAUAUAUUUCCAUUUAUAUAUAGCAGCCCUCGCAGUUCAUUAUAUACAGGGAGUUAUGGUCGUUUGAAGUUGACCCUAAAAUUUUGGCCUGAAAUGCGCCCGGAAUGCGGGAGCAUUUCAAACCAGUGAGUUCAGCCACUGAAAUGCGCCCAAAAUGCAUUCUAAAUAUGACCAAGACAUACUAGGGUCUUUCCCCAUCACAACGCAACUUGAAAAUUAAAAAACGGAGGUCGGGAAGGUCGCCAAAUAAAUCCCCGAAGUUCGGAGGCUUGAAAUGUGACUAGUGUUGAACACUUAGCAAAAAUUCUUCUAAGUAUUGGAUUUUCUUAUCAAGCCUUAAGGAGUUGAGUUAGACUUAAAAUUUUAUGGGGUCUUACAAUUAUUAAGUGCAGCCAAUGCAUUAAAACUUUCUUUAUACAAUACAUGAGGUUUGGGGGAAGGGGCGAACCACAUGAAUUUAUUGUACUGGCUAUCCCAUAUUUCUACAAGAAGUUAUUUCUACGGUUUGAAUCCAUGACCUCCAAGUCACAUGGAAACAACUGUAAAAGUAACGUAUUUCCCUCCGUCCCAUAUGUGGCACAUUUCGCUUUUCAAGAGUCAAGCAAUAUAACUUUGCCAUGAAGUUGAGCAUUAAAUCUUCAAUUUUUUUUGAAAUAAAAUUUAUAUAUUUGAAAACUACAUAAAAAACACUAAAAGUGGCAACAAUUGAUAAUUCAAAAUAUUUAAACAUAUAUGAAAAAAUUACGAUAAAAAAUAGACAUGUUGAAACUCGAAAUCUUAAACUUGCCACAGAAAUUGAAAUGCAUGGAGUAUUAUUGAAGCUAUUUUACUUUUUCAAAUAUUAAACCAUAGAGGAAAAUUGAAAGCGCGGAACCAACAGCAGUGCUCUUUCUAACUAAAACUUAUGUUAUUUAGUAGCCGUUUGAUUAUGAAAAUUAUUUCCUUUUUUCCGAAAAGUUAUUUCACUUUAGUGAAAAAAGUGAAAAUAAGAUGUGUUUGGUCGUGAAAAUUUCAAAUACAAUUCCGGAAUGUAUUUGGAUUCACUUUUUUCGCUCACACUUCUCUAGCUACAACUUCAACUUCAAUUCCAACUCCGAAAAAUUAUGAUUUUCAUGGCGAAACGGGGCCGUAUUAUCUGGAUGAAUCUUUUCAAGGUUCUCAUCACUAGCUUCAACCAUUUUCAACACCUAUUGACUAACCUGUCUUUUAUCCUCAAAUUGCUCGACUCUAUUUUGCGGCUACUAUAAGGAGUGUACAAACUAGUACUUCUAUCAUUCUUUUCACCAUCUCACUUCUUCCAAUCACCAUCCCAAUCUCUACCUAAUCUUUAUACCCUGACAGGUUGUAGUUGUUGUCCUUAUAAUAAUUCUGACCUUGAUUCGCUUGACCUUAGCGCCAAGUAUCUUCAUUAGAACCUUGGACUCUGGCCUAGAAACCCGCCACCAGAUCAUCCAAGUAGUUUGCCUCUUCAUCAAAAUCAAAAUCAUUGUCUUGGAUCCAUUAUAUUCCUUGCGAACCGGCUGCAUUUACGUUUUUAGUCGUAGCUCCCAUGUAAUGCUUACCGAUAAGACUUAUUUCAGUACUCAUUUCAGCUAUUGCUUGAUCUCACAAUCCUCUUCUAUCCUACACUGCUCCACGAAUAUACCUAUAGUAUAAGUGCUAGUGGAAACUUCAGACUCUCGUGUGUUGGCAUGCCCUAUUUAUCUUGGUGACCCCUAACAAGGAGUAUCACUGCUUCUGUUAUAAGUGUGACUCGUAAAUGCUCCUCCAGUGACUCUAUUAGCAAUCACGUUGGUAUUGGCAUUUAAGGACCUAUGAGAGAUCUCCAACAAAGUAUCAUCAGGUGUCCUAGGGGUGCAAAAAUUUACUUAAUAUGAAAUGGAGGGAGCAUUAUUUUUGGAGGAUUCAACAUGCGGCAUCAAUAUUUUCUUUUAAGAAAUCGAAAACCGUAGGGUUAAACUCAAGACUAAUGAAGAAGAGGCACUAAUUAUCAAGCCCAAAAGUUGAACAAGAAUAAGAAAAUUACACAAAACAAUGAAUAGUACAGGAGAACUUGUUUGUAAAAAAAAGUACUAUAUAUCAAGAUGACAAAAGAAGAAAGGAACCAAAAACUGCAUUAAACAAUUGUUCCAUUUUUAUUAUUUGGUGUUAAUCUGGUACUAUAUUGAAGAAGGGAAUGUUAAGCCUCAAGAUUGAAAUUUCUCCAUCGUUAUGUCAUCAAUUUCUUUUGCCAUAUCCUUGGUCAAAUAAUUCUUCCAAUCGCCAAUUUCUCCUUUCCGAAAAAAUAUACUAUUCUGAACUCGCUGAGUUUCUGGCCGAUGCAAGCCGGUUUUGUUCACCUCUAAAUUGCUCAAACUUUUGAAAUUACAGCGUGCUAUGAUUUCUUCAGGCACACCUCGUGUUUCUUCCUCCAUAGAGAAAGGUCUCUCCAUGAAUUCCGCCAAUUUCUUCACAUAGUAUAAUGUGUCCUUCAACAAAUCUUCAUACUUCAAGAACAAUACUUUAUCAUGUCUCUCUACAUCAUGACUUGCUUCCCAAUACCCCAACACGUGAUUCCAAUAAGGUCCAUAAAACGAUUUGCCUUCACAAAACCACUUGACUUGGUGUUCAAGUGUAAGAAUAUUUGCUACUGAUACAUCUUGGUCAAAUACCUUUUGACUGAAUUUCCACAAAGAAACUAAGGUAUCUUUGGGUUCUCUGCAUAUGUAAAUGAUCUUGCAAUUGGAUUCUAGUAUGGAUGGUGGUAAGUGACUGUAAGGAACAUGUGUGGAUAAUAAUGGCAACUCUGCAUCUACAAAUUUAGGGUUGGAGAUAAAAUCAACUUCCAAAAAGGGUAGGCAAUCAUGGGGUACCUUAUUGAGUAAAGGGUUAUUUGUAGAGUCGUCAUCAUGAAAAAUAUGCCUAGUCAUAAUGGAAAAGGUUAAAGCUUUAAGCCAAGUGGUGCCUGUUUUCAUAGCACUGCAAAGGAAAAUAUCAGAGGGUCGAGCCCUGAAGUUUUCUUGCAUAUAUAAAAUUACUUGUAAGAACUGUAUAGGGUACCAAAAUCCUUGAUAUUGGUAAGAUUCAUAACCAGGAUAGGAAGGCUCUAGUUUGGGGAGGGUUGAUAUUAUAUCUUUGUAUUUUUCACACAUAUUCUUGAAAUUUUCUGAUCCAUAGCUUGCAGAUAAACGACUAGCGUUGCAAGGGAAAUUAGAGGAACUCAUUUUUUGAAGACUGGGAAAGUGACGAUUAAAAAAAGAAAAUACUAAGAAACAACUUCUUUAUUGAUAAAGAAGAGAAGUUUGGUAGUAUAUUUUAAGUCCUUUACUCAUCCAUGGUCCUACACUAUAUCAUCCUAUCUCUAACACUCUAUCUACACCACAGAUUCACAUACCCUUUGUUAUGUUAGGUUGCUUUCAUUGCCAACAAGGAAGCAACACUCACAUGCCAUAAGUAUUGAAUUAUUGAUAUGUAGGACGAUUUCAAUAAUGGAAAGGACCUGACCGACAGGUCAGCAACCAAUAUAACAUCCCAUUAGCAAUAUGAAAUUCUGCAUUACCAACCUAGCUAAUUUAUGUAUUCCUAAUAUAUUGGUUGGUUUAAUGUUAUACAACUCCUAAUAACUACCGGGGCUUUUAGAUCACUGCAUUAGAUUCUGCAUCUCUAUGUAAGAAAGAAAAACACAUAAGCAGGACAGACUCUUCUAUGAAAAUGAGUUUAUGCAGCACUGCUGCCAAAGACCAUCAGAUAGAAUGGAGGGCUUUACUUGGAAAGUAAUGUAGAGAACUAAAGGGGUUCUAUAUUUAAAGAAAACUUAAGAUUUCAACUAAAGGGGUUUCAUAUUAAAAAAAAAUUAGUCGAAAUGGCUUCAACACCUGCAAUAACCACAUAAAAAAUAAUUUUAAUCAUGUAUAAAUCGUAUAUUUUUCCGUCGAAAGAAAUUCGGCCGAACCCCGAACAGAAGGCUGGCUCCCCCCUGCCAAGCGAUUCCUAAGAGAAUUAGAAAAGAUAUUUGUAGAGAGAAUUCUUGUUAUUUCAAGUAUAUACAAUAGGUCAAAAUAUGUUAUUUAGAGGAAGAGAUACAUAGUUAAAUACUUGUUAUAAUAAGUCAAACUUUGUUAUUACCUGCUGAUUCAAAAUUUGUUAUGGACAUUCACUCACUCAAAACAAGCGAUUCAUGACACUUUUCAUAUUUUUUGUUUGCAAUCAUUUUAAAAAAAAAAAAAACCUUAAUUAGAGACUAAUUUGACUAAAUUAUCUUUAUUUAUCACUUUUUUCUUUUAAUAUUAAUCUUUUUAACACUAUAUUUAUAUGUUUUGUCAUAUUUAUGACUAAGAAUAAUAAUGAAAGCAAAAAAUUAAUUACGUCUUGAUUUUCUAAAAUGAAAAUAUAGAAUAACUAUUUUUAGAAACGAUGACAAGUAUUCAGAAAUGGAGUGAGUAUGUAUUAAAAAAAUACAAUAAAAUUCAAACUUUCGAUGUAUGUAGUAGUAAUUUUUCUCAACUCUCGUCAUUUUGGAUAAAUACCCUACAUAUAUUUACUCUGUUAGGUGAUUUUCCUGUUUUUUCUUUCUAUGUUUAUUUUUACUUAUUAAUUACUAAUUUUAUUUUAUUGGUUUUUUUUUUCUAUGUUUAUUUUUACUUAUUAACUAGUGAAUAGGUUCGCGCUUUGCGUAAUGUGUAAGACGUUGUUGAAUUUAUAUAAAAAAAAUUAUAAUAAUAAAUUUUUGGUGAGCUAUUUUAUCGAAUGAAGAUAAAUUAUUGAAAAGAAAGAUGCUUAACACGUAAGAACUUCAACUUUUCAUUCAUACUUAAAUAUUUUUUCAUAAAUAUUACUCAAGUAUUAUAAAUGAUAAUAAUAUUUAGUAGAAAUCAUAAUUGAAAGUAAAUCAUAUACUUAAUUCGAGCUUGUCUUACCUAAUUUUAUUUAUUUGUUGUUUUAUACAUAACGGGUUAAUUAUGUAAAUAAGAAUAUUUAUAGUUAUUGUAGUGAUAAGUAAAAGUUAUACAUAAUCAAAGAUUUUUUUGUAUUACAUAAGUCCUCUCUUCUACUAUUAAUUAGGGGAGAAGGACAAAAAUAGCCCUUCUCCUAAAGCUUAUUCCACAAAAAUAGCCCCUGUUUUUAAUUCCCACUUAAUAGCCAUUAAAAUAAUACCAUAUUUUAGCCAUCUUCUAAUCACCACUAAGAAGCCGCAACAAUAGCAUAAUAUAUUUCUUUCCUUUUCAAUUGAAACUCACACUUUCCUUCCCCAGUUUUACCUUAGGAUUCCUUUCCAUUAAAAUCUCACAAAUCCUCUUUUAAAUACACCAUAUUACCUUAAAAUACCUUCAUAAAUUGUAUAUAAAUAUACAAUAUCCUCCGUCAAUUAGCUUCAAAAAAAAAUUUUCAUUCACAAUUAGCUUCAGUUGAUACGAAAUUAUGGCUUCAAGUUCGAUUUUAGUUCCAAUUAUGCUACAAUACGGAGGAGAGUUGUAGGUGAUGUACAGUUUGAAAAGUUUACAAUCAAUGGAGUACUUUUGAAUUUGAAUUGCAGGUACGAAUAUUUUGUUGAUGAAUUGUAUAACCAGUUGAAUCUAGAGCGAAAUUCUUGUUUAAUGACAAUAAAAUACAUUGUAAAGAGUGGAUCUAUGACUAUUUACAAUGAAUUUCCAUUGUGUAUAACACUACAAAACACAUUUGAAAAUGGAGAAUCCUCAAAUGGAAAUUUGAUCGAAACAUCUCUGACUGUUAUUCAAGUUUAUCCGAUACCUAUUUCUAAUUAUACAAUUGAAGGUGAAGAAAUGAAAGAAUAGGUCGAAUCGAUAAUUAAGGAUCCACUUCAUAGAGAUGUUGAAGAAGGGCAGCUGUACUGGGAUAAAAAUACAAUAUCAAGUGUGAUGAAACAUUAUGCAUUCCGUGAGAGAUUUCAAUUUAAGGUGAAAAGAUCAUCAUCAUCAAGGUAUAAACUAUAUAACUACUUUAUACAACAAUGUGUAAGUUUUAUAUUUUAUUGGAAUAUUAGUUUUAAAUUUGCAUAAAUACUGCAUAUAAACUGCAUAUGACCUGUAUACAGACUGUGUAACUACUAUAUAUGACCUGUAUAUAUACUGCAUAUGAAGUAUGUAAUUUCUAUAUAGCACCUGCAUAUAUAUUGGAUAUGAACAGUGCACUGCAUAUACAUUUAUUGUAUAUAAAUGUAUCUCGAUACUAUCUUAAGUGUAUCAAUCAGAGAUGCAAUUGGACUUUUAGAUCUUCAAGUCAACAAAAUUCAGAAGUUUUCAUGGUGACCAAAUUUGUCGAUGAUCACUCUUGUCCAAUUGAGGACAGAAUAUUUUCACAAUGGAAUGCUACUUCUUUAACCAUCGCUAAAAUUGUGAAGCACAAUUUUCUAAAUUUAAAGUCAACAUACACUCCAACAGAGAUCAUGGAAGAAAUGAAAAACUUGUAUGGAAUUAGGAUAAACUACAAAAAGCAUAUAGAGCCAAAGAAAAAACACUUGAACUGGUCAGAGGUUCCUUGCGUGAAUCUUAUGCUAAAUUGCCAGCUUACCUAUACAUGGUAAACACAAUAAAUCCUGAAUCAUUCACAAGACUACACAAAACGGAGGACAAUCACUUUUUAUAUGCUUUUGUCGCGUUGAGCACAUCAAUUAGGGGCUGGAGAUAUUGUAUGCCUACCAUUGUUGUUGAUGGAACUUUUCUGAAAUCUCCAUAGAAGGGAACAAUGUUAUCUGCAAGUGUGCUGGAUGCAGCAGGUGAGUUUUAUGAAAUUUUUUUAGACAAAAUUAUGCAUAUGCUGGCAUGAACUGAUAGACACUUUCCCACUUGUUUAAUCAAGACAUAUUUUGCCACUAGCAUAUGCUGUUGUUGAUUCUGAAAAUGAUGCUUCAUGGGAAUGGUUUUUCCACAUGUUUAACACUGCGUUUGGUGAAAUAAAAGGCAUUUGCAUAGUAUCUGAUAGGCAUGACAGCAUAUUAAAAGCUGCUGCACUUGUAUAUCCAAAUGUGGCUCACUGUAUAUGCAUCUACCAUCUAUGGAACAACAUCAAGGGUAGAUCUAAGAAGAAUCAAAAGCAAUUAACGGAGAUCUUCUUUACAAUGGCCAGAACAUACCUAAAGGCAGACUUUGAUCGACUUAUGGAUGACAUAAACAAAAUCGAUAAUAGGGUGAAGCAGUAUCUGUUUGAUAUAGGCUAUGAAAAAUGGUCUAUAGCUCAUGCCCAUAUCAACAGGUCGAUGUUCAUGACUUCAAACAUAGCUGAAAUCCCUAAAUUCAGCAAAUAGAGAUGUAAGAGACCUGCCAAUUAAAAAAUUCCUACAAUUUAUGAUAGAUCUGGUCAUGAGAUGGAAUAAUGAAUAUAGACAACAUUCAGAAGCAACAUUUACAGAACUGGGAAACAAAUACAAUAUAAUAAUGAGGGAAAAUCUCAUUCUAUCAAAUAAAAUGAAGGUAUUACUUCUAAUUUCUACUUCACAGACACUUACAUAUUGUAAUGUGUACACUAUAUACUGAUAUAUUUGUACAUUGCAGGUGAUGGGUUCUACUCAUUAUUCUUAUGUAGUCAUUGAUGAAACUGAAAAAUGAAACAUUGUUUGCAUGCGUGAAAAAAAAUAUUCUUGCCUACAAUUUCAAGUAGAUGGCAUACCUUGUCCACAUGCUAUGGAGGUCCUAACUUACACGCAUAUGGACUUACAAAACUAUUGUGCUACAUAUUACACAAGAGAAAACUUCUUGAAAGCAUAUGAACUUCCAGUUAUGCCACUUCCUGAUGAAAUAGCUUGGCACAUUCCAGCAGAGAUAUCAGCUAAUAUAGUACUGCCACCAAUCUGGAAACCAAAACCAGGAAGACCAAAAAAGAACAAUCGAGGAAAGGGCAUUAUGGAAUACUUUAAGCAACAAAUUUCAUGUGGGCGCUGUGGAAAAACAGGACACAAUCGAAGAACAUGUGAAAAUGCUCCAACAAGAAUCUAAUAGGAUGCUGCAAGAACACUUUUAUCUUUCUCAUUUUUUUCCUUGAAAAAAGACUAUUCUUUUCAUAGCAAUGUAAUAGUAACAAUAUUAUCUUACUUCAAAUGCAUUCUACUCUUAAAGAAAUCUGUGCAUUAUGGUGUUUCAUUUGGCCACAUUCUUUGGUGAGGUGCACUAAUCAACUCAUCUGAGCUGAGGGGGUGUAAUUUUUCUGCUACAAGUCUUAAUAAAACUGCUUAUCAUCUGUGUCAAUCUUGUAUAAUACCUAUAUACAGUUUGAAUAUAUAUAAGUACUAGUAUUUGUCUUUUGAACUAAUUAGCAAAUACAUAGCACCUCUAUAUUUUGAAUAUAACUACUUUUAUAAACUAUAUAAAUACUUUAUUACAACAAUAUAUAAGUUCUAUAUCUAGUUAGGAUAAAUGUAUAAAAUUGUAGAAAUAGUAUGCUUAAACUGUGUAACAACUGUACAGGGACUGAAUAAAUAUUGCAUAUAUACUGAAUAUUGGUAUAAAUUUGCAUAAAUACUUCACAUAAAUUGUAACUAUUGUAUAGAACUUGUAUAUGAACUGCAUAUGACCUGUGUACAGACUGUGUAACUACUAUAUAGGACCUGUAUAUAUACUGCACAUAAAGUACUGCAUAUGAACUGUGUAAUUUCUGUAUAGCACCUGCAUAUAUAUUGGAUAUUAGACUAUAUAACUACUUUAUAUGACUUGUGUCAACAUUAUGUAACUUUGAUAUUUGUUGGUAUAAAUUUGCAUAAAAAUUGCAUAUAAACUGCAUAUAACCUGUGUACAUACUGUGUAACAACUAUAUAGAACCUGUAUAUAUACUGCAUAUAAAGUACUACAUAUGAAUUGUGUAAUUUCUGUAUAGCACCUGUAUAUAAUAUUGGAUAUUAAAUUAUGUAGGAACUGAAUAAAUGUUACAUAUAUACUGAAUAUCAACUUUGAUCAACAUAAACUAACAUUUCAGUAUCAAUUGUACAGAAUUGUAUCAAUCACCAAAACAUAUAGUAUUCGGCAUAACAUUUCAUAAUAAUAACCUUCGAGUGUAUCAACACAAUACAGAAAUAACCCUAAGCAUUUCAACACUAAAACAUAUCUAACAUCAAUGCUUCAAAGACAUUUCUAACUAAAUUUGUUGCACACCAUCCUUUUUCUUCAACAAUCGACUAGGAGAUUCAUCUUUACUAACUGCAUAUUGACUUUGUUUCUUCUUUUCAUAAUCCCACAGCAACACACCAUAUCGAGUACGAAUAACAUCAAUAUCAUCUAGAUAAUUAGAAAUUUCAAGACUAUCAAGCAAAUACUCAGCAAAGGCAGCACAAAAGACACCACAGUUCCUGUAAACAUAAUACAUCAUCAGUAUAAUUGACAAAAAAAGUAUGUAAAAAUGAGAAAUUGAAUGUGCAUUCAAUAUAUUACGUGUUAUCUUGCGUUGGCAGUCCCUCAACAAUAUGAAUAUCAAAAGAAUUAGCCACUGGAAGUCCACCGCUCCUACUUUCCCAAAAUCCAAUACAAGAAAGAAAGUGUGGAAUUAAUUUGAAUAUACUGCAACUGAUUUCUGAACAUAAACAGCAUGCCUUGUACCAUGCAUUGAAUCAUACACACAUAUGCAUUGAUCUUUAAAAGAUAGUCUCGCUAAAAUCCAGUGAAACUCCUCAGCAAGAUUAAUUGGGAAAAGAACAUUGUCAACGCUAUUCUGCGGAACGUUGCAUCUCAUAAAAAAUCCAAGCAUGUACUCAACGAUUUGAUGUUCUUGAGUGAUAAGUGUUACAUCUCUAUUAUUCUCCACAAAAUGCUUAUAUAAAGUCUGAAUCAAGCCGUUAAACCAACAAUCUGUGGUUGUAAAUUUAACUGAAUCACAAACAGGCUCGUAUUUUGACUUCUUUAACAAAUAGUAAAAGAUAACAUCAAUAUGUAGAAAAUACGAACAACAAAAUCAUGUUAAAAUGCUAAAAAUGAAUACAAAACACUAAUUUAAAUCAUAUAAAUACAAGCUAUUUAUAUAACAUGCAUCAUAUCAACUAUUGCAUACAAAUUCUAUAUCUACUGUGUAGGACCUGUAUAUAUAUACUGAAUAGCAACUACUGCAUUUAAAUUGCGUACAUACUGUGUAAACACAGCAUAGAACCUGUAUAUACAUUGCAUAUUAAGUGUUGCAUAUAAACUGCGCAUAAAGUACUGCAUAAAUAAAGCAUAGAACUUAUAUAACGUUCAUCAUAUACAAAAUUUCAGUAUUCCAAUUAGAUUAUCACUAUCAAGUACAGAAAUAAAAGAUAUAUAAACUACAUAACUAACAAAUUCAUUACUUACUGAAUCGGUUAAUGGUACUCCUGGAUAUGCCAAUGUGAAGAACCACUCUUUUAUUUUAACAAUAUCUACUCCAUAGUCAAAAUAUUUUCGGAGAGCAUUGACAGAAUAGAAAUAAAUAGGACUAGAAAAAAAUGUUACAAAAAUUGUAAUAUAUGAUAAAAUAAAGUUAAACAAAAAGAAAUUAUAAACAGAAACUUACAUCUGUUUAACGCGCAACGAUCUCGCAACAAACCUGUUAAACUUUAAUUUCACUUUCAUAUCAUCAAUUCACUCCAUAAUACUCUUCACAAAAAGAUGCUUUAUAGAAAAGACAUGUUUUCUUGACUGAGCAUUCUUUACACACUUAGAUGAUUGGCCUUCAACUUUGCCACAACCAGAAUCAAAUUUUGACAAAAAUGAAGAUUUAUAUACUACCGUUGGCUUACAUAAUUGGCGAGGAAUAGCAGGUGUUUCAUCCAACAUAACAGGCGCAGACUCCAUGUUUUCCUCAAUCCCUUUAACAUUAUCACUUGUAGUUGCAUCAAAUUUUCUAACAUUAUCACAUACUAAAUUAGUCGUAUCAGUUGUUGCAACACUCUUAUCGGGUUGAGUGAACUUAGAAAUUUCAGCAUCUGUAAUUUCUGUCUAGUCAAGCUCAUUCUGGCUAACCACUACCACAUCACCUUAUUUUUGUGUCUUUUGAUCACAAAAGAUUGAGUAUAUUUAGACACUUCAGAAUCAGUAAUAUUAUAACAAUCACUAUCAACCCGACUAUUUCUACCCUCCCCUAUAUCCUUAUUUUCACCUGAGCUUUGUGUGAAUUUCAAAAAAUCAAAAUCUGGAAAAUUCUUCCAAGCACCAUCCCUUAAAGUUUCAUCCCCAAAAUCAACAUCGACAUGACCACCUUCACAAUUACCUACAAAAUUAACUUUCUAUCCAACGGUAUCCANNNNNNNNNNNNNNNNNNNNNNNNNNNNNNNNNNNNNNNNNNNUACAUCAUCCAUCAAAUUGUCACUUAUAUGAUCCACUUCCAGUGCAACAUCAUUUUGUUGUCCCACAUUAGGUGGAUCAUUAACUUGAUCAUCACCUGUACUACCAACAUUAGGUGUCUCAUCGUCUUUUUUAUUUGAGUUGUCACCAUUGUUAUCACCAAUUGAUGUACCAACCUUUAAAAUUUUUUUAUAAAAUAAGUACAAUAGUGUUUAUAAGAUUUGUUAAAAAAAAUAGGAGAAAUUCAGGAAAAGAAUACCUUAGUCUCAUUCUUUAUAUCUAGAGCUCAAAAAAUCAAUUCAAAUGAGGAUUUCAUAAACUUCUCCAUCGAGGAAACCUUUUCCGUUAACUAAACAUAAAAGGAAAAAGUCAACACAUCAAUUAACAAAAAAAUAUAAAUAUUAAUAAAAAACUUCGACAUACCAUUUUAACAUCACUUCGCAAAAGUGUCAAUUCAUUAUCUGAGCUCGACUGACUACAUUCUUAUUUACUGGUGCUAGGCAAAUCAACAGAGUGCACAACCGUAUCCACAGGUUUGAAAUCAGGUAAUUGAAGGAUUGUUUUUUCAAGAACUGUCGGUUUAAUGUUACGCAACACAACCUGCACAUAAGAAACAACGCUGACAUUUAAGAAGCACAUUAUAAUUUAACAAAGCAUAUAUAAAUUACAAUUUAAAACAACGAUAUACCUGCUCUUGCCAAAUAUCAAAAAAUGCAAACUCGACCUCCUUGUAUGUUGGUCUAUACUUUACAAACCAAUUCAAUAUAUGUGGCACACCAUCGCUCACUCAAUCAGCAAGAUAGCCAUCGGCAUAAGGACAACACUCAUAAAACCAACAUUGAAAUGCAAGAGGAAAACCAGCACAACGAUAUAUAGUUUUUCGCUGAUAAACCUUAGACUUCAUUGACUCCAAUAUCAGACGAAAAUAUAAUUUUUCCCAAGGAAAUAUUUCAUAGUUCCCAGAUUCAACCAAUAAGAAAUCAUUCUUAGUUAUAACAUAACUAUACGUGACAGAAAAAUAAAGGAAUAAAUGAAGAACAAAACAGAAAUUUGUAAAGCAUCUUCAUCACAUCGCCACUUUUUUCCCAUAAAACACUCUUCCAAAUCAAGCUUUGUGACCUUGGACUUUCCUGAAAAAUAUAACUCCAUCAGCUUACUUUCUUCACUAACAACAAACUCAUUAUUGUAAUUUCCGGCACAUUUUAAGCCGCUAAUUAUAGCAAACUCUUGUAAGCUGAAACGUAACUUAGUGUUAUUCACUUUAAUCCAUAUUUCAUCAUCUCUCUCACAAACAAGUUCCCUAAGCAACAUUCCAUGGAUAAGUUGAUUUUGAGGAAAAACAUUUGGUAAAGAUGAGAAAUACCCAAAGAAACUAUUCUUAAACAAAUCAAGUUGCUUCUUGUCCAACUUAGAUUUCAACGCAGUCACAAUAGCACAGUUUGUGUGCACACUGAGUUGACACUUGUAAUGAUCAGAUGGACCAAGAAACAAAUCCCAAACCUGCAACACGUAAGUGUGCUUUAGGUAUAAAUAUUUCAAAAAGCUACAUAUAUUACUCAUACAGUGUUGCUAAUUGUACACCGUUACAAUAUAAAUAGUUAAACUAUACAAGUUCUUAUACAAUCCUGAUACACAUAUAGUUAUACAGUAAAUGUACAUUAAUUUUACUAAUAUAGUAAUCAUUACAACCGUGUUGCUAAUUUUACACAGUUACAAUAUAAAUAUUCAAACUAUACACAGUUCUUAUUCAAUCAUGAUACACAAAUAGUUGUACUGUCAAUGUACACUAAUUGUACGCAUAUAGUAUAAAUAUUCAAACUAUACACAAUUCUUAUACAAUCCUGAUGCACAAAUAGCUAUACAAUCAAUGCACACUAAUUUUAGUCAUACAUACAGUAUAAAUAUUCAAACUAUACACAGUUCCUAUACAAUCUUGAUUCUCAAAUAGUUAUGCAUUCAAUGUACACUAAGGGGUCGUUUGGUAGAGUGUAUUGAAAAAUAUAAUACAUGAAUUAGUUAAUGUGUACUACUAGUAUCUUGUUUGGUACAAUUUUUUGCCUAUGUAUAACUAAUGUGAGCAUUAGUUAUACACUCUAUUGUGUAUUGAAGUAUGUAUUAGUAAUACACUCCAUUUCCUAUGUAUUAGUAAUACAAUGCCUUUUAACACAUGCAUUAACUUAUUAAAUGACCUUAAUACUCCUCAAUUUUCCUCUCAAAAAAAUUCAUCAUUCCAUUUCCUGCCAUUUUAAUUUGCAAUAGUGAAUCUUUUCAAAAUAUUUCAUAAUUUCUUUUCCAACCAUUUUAAUCUACAACAAUGAAUAGUUGAUUUAAAUAUUUGUAACAUAUUUUUUCUUUGCUUCGAAGGUCUUUAAAAAGAUUAAAAAAAUGAGACUAUUUCUUAAUUUUACGUCUUAUAUUUUAUUUUUGUUUUGACUAUGUUAAUCCGUCGGCGUAAUAUUUCAUGCGCAAAGACGAAGGUCUUGCAAUUACUCCGAAACCUCUAUAUACUAGUUCAACAAUACUAAUAUGUUUGAGAUGACAAAAAAAAUUUGUUUCAAAAAAAUGCACAAAAUCAAAGAAGGGUAUUUUUGUAAACAAACACUUCUUUUAUAGAUUUUAUGUAAGAUGUAUUAUUUCUUAUACAUCAAACCAAACAAUGUAUAAGAAAUAAUACAUGCAUAACUAAUACAAGUAUAACUAAUACAAACAUUACUAAUGCAAGCAUUAUUAAUACACUAUAUUCUGCAUUAUUUUUAUACACUCUACCAAACGAUCCUUAAUUUUACUCAUAUUACAACAGUGUUAAUUUUACACAGUCACAAUAUAAAUAUUCAAACUAUACACAGUUCUUAUACAAUCCUGAUACACAUAUAGUUAUACAGUAAAUGUACACUAAUUUUACUAAUACAGUAAUCAUUACAACUGCGUUGCUAAUUUUACAAAGUUAUAAUAUAAAUAUUCAAAUUAUACACAGUUCUUAUUCAAUCAUGAUACGCAAAUAGUUGUACUGUCAAUGUACACUAAUUGUACGCAUAUAGUAUAAAUAUUCAAACUAUACACAAUUCUUAUACAAUCCUAAUGCACAAAUUGCUAUAUAGUCAAUGCACACUAAUUUUAGUCAUAUAUACAGUGUAAAUAUUCAAACUAUACACAGUUCCUAUACAAUCUUGAUUCUCAAAUAGUUAUGCAUUCAAUGUACACUAAUUUUACUCAUAUUACAACAGUCUUGUUAAUUUUACACAGUCACAAUAUAAAUAUUCAAACUAUACAAGUUCUUAUACAAUUCUGAUACACAAAUAGAUAUACAGUCAACGUACACUAAAUUUCACAAAAAUCACAACCCAAUAUAUUUCAUAUACAACACUGACACAUAUUAUAUACAUCAAUAACGCAUAUAUUUCAUACAUACACAAAUUCUACACAACAAGCGAACAUCUAUCAGACAUAAUUAAUACAUACAAAAGCACAAACAAUGUAUCUCAAAAUCAGUUAAUUUGGGUAUUUUUCUCUUCCAAGGAACUUUUUUACUUUUAUUUUUUGGAUGAUUGAGCAUCAUCUUCUCCGUCAUUUGAUCGAUUCCUUUUUUUGUUUUUUUGGAGGAACAAGAGCAUCUCCUUCACCAGUCACAAUUAUCUUCUCCUUUCCUUUAGAUGACUUAUCAUAAUCUUCAUCAUUUUUUGAAUCAUUGAUUUUUUUGAUCUUUUACGAAUGACAACAAGAUCUGAAUCAUCACUCAGAUCUGUAUGUGCUUUUUUUAGUUGUUUUUUUAUUUAGCCAUUGAUGAAUCAACUACUAAUUUACCUCGAGACCUAGUAAUUCAACUAGGACUAGCAUGAACAUUCUUCAAAUCCUUCAAUUGAACUUCAGGAAUUUAUUAAAUCUUCGAAAUCAUCAUAUGGAGCAACGAAAUUAGGAUCAUAUCUUAUACCUUUACCAGCUAAUUUCAUAUCAGUAUUAACUUUUUCCUUCAUUUUCAGCACAACAAACUUCAGAAAACCUAAUCACAAAGAACAGUCGAAAAAGGUAAGGGGACUGUAGGUACCAGUUAUUACCCUUUUUUGGAAAAAAGACAACUGCUAGCGUGAACUGUAGAUACAAGUUUUUUCUUUUUUUGGGGAAAAUAGCAACUGCAAAGGGCGCGUGUGAUUUUUUUUAUUCUUUAGAGUGUAGUUUAUUAAAAUAGAGGGCGCGUGUGACUUCUUAAAAUAAAGGGCUAAUAAAUAGUAUUAAAAAUAGUCAAAGUGUUACUUUUGUCCAAAAUGGGAAACGUGAGCCAUUAUUGUCCAUUACUUUUUAAAAAAGUUACGUGGUGCCUUUUUCCCAUUAAUUAGAGAAUCUACAAAAGUCCUUUCAUCUUAUCCGUUUUUAUUUAAUUAUUUUUCAUCCACUUUUAUUUUACAUUUUUCUCCUUUUUUGCAUUUUUUCCUACUCCAUCCUAUUAAUUUAUCUUAUGUUAAAUUAAAUAUUAAAAAUCUAAAAACCUCUUAUUUUCCUCCAUAAUCAAUACAUAAAUAUAUAUCUAUAAAGGAGAAUCAAGACAAGGAUGAUGUGACACCUCUUUAUGUCCACCAUUUCUAUUUAUCUUUUUUCUCCUUUUUUUAAUUUUUUCACCAUUUUUGGCAUUGAUCAAUUUGUUUAAUAAAUAAAAAAUUAUUAUAUUUAUUAUAUCCAAUUAUAUCUCAUGAGUUACAAAAAAAACUCCAUCUAUUUACAUUCUCUAUUUAAGUAACAUGUCCCUUCAACUUUCUUCUGUCAAAUUCUUAUAACUUGAACAAUCUAUAUAUAGGCAAUGGUUUACUCAGAAGAUAACAUUGAACUUUGUAGUCAUGAUUAAAAAAACUAAAAAUUGAAUCCAUCAAAUAUAAAUUCUGAAUCCACCUCUUCGUGGUAAUGCACCAUGUUCUUGAGGUCUUAGACUAUGCAAGUAAUCAAGAACAUGUAUAUCACCUCCCUUAGCUUCUAAACAACAAAACUUUACACCUACUAGUUGCAUUUAUUUUUUAUUCAAAUUGUAAAUAUCUCCUUUCACUGGAUUUGGUUAAAAAGUAAAAUCAUAGAGCAAUUAUAUACACAUUUUUCUGUGGAAAUGCUUUUGUCCCCUUUUUUUUUUCAUAUGUGAAUUGUGCUAUAUUUCACUAUUAUUUUGUUAAAGGAAAAAAAGUUUCAUCUCACAUAUCAUAUAAUUAGUUUCCAAAUCUCUAAAAAUUAUUUUUGAAAAUGACAAAUCUAUAUACAUCUAAUGUAUUUCAGAUUUGAUCGAAUCGACUCUCGUAGAACAAAAAUGCAAUAAAACUUUGAGACGUAAAGAGAGAGAGAAAAAAAUUACACGAUAAACAUAAAAAUUGUUCAUCUUGUUCAAUUGGUUUUUCUUUCCAAAGAACAAUAACUUUUCUGUCUUCUCUUCUGCCCAAAGAAUACUUAUUGCUUUUCUGAAUAAUAUUUCACUAUUUGUUUAGAUUCUGAAGGCUUGUUAUAUUCACUAAAAUUAUUUGCAUACAAUUUUGUGAAAAAGGUGGAGCAAACAUCACAACCUUAAACCAGAGAAUCACACAUCUAGUAUUUUUACUUGGAUGAAUCAUUUUGAACGAAGAUGAAAUUGGCAAUGACAAUUGUACCGAUGAUUCCACCAAGAAUAGCAGCGACGUUAGUUAACAAACUCCAUUUUCUGUGUGUCAUCCUUCGAUCUUCUUCUUUCAAAACUCUUUAAUCUCAAUAUCGCCAUAUCAUUUUCCCUUGAAACAGGUCCAUUUGAACCCACUGAAGAUGACAUAAAUAUAAAUUUUACUAUCAAAGAAUAUCCAUGAACACAUGAAUAAAUAUCACAAGAUAAACUUAACUAUAGAUACAAAAUAAGAAAAUAAAAAUAUGACUUCAUUGAACUUGAGUGCAUGAUUAGCGAAUAAUUAUAAAUGUGAAAUAUUCAGUAAAAUUCAAUCAAUUCUAAAUCAUACAAAGUAAAAUGUCCAAUGUUCAAAACCACAUAUAUUGAAAACUUACUAACUUUAAUGUGAAAUAUUCUGUAAAAUUCAAUCAAUUCUAAAUCAUACAAAGUAAAGUGUUCAAUGCUCAAAACCAGAUAUAUUGAAAACUUACUAACUUUAAUUUUUUUCUUUUGCGUUCAACCAUGGCUACAAAGUUCAAUGUUGUCUUCUAAGUAAACCAUUGCCUAUAUAUAGAUUAUUCAAGUCAUAAGAAUUUGAUAGAAGAAAGUUGAAGGGACAUGUUACUUAAAUAGAGAAUGUAAAUGGAUGGAGGCUUUUUUGUAACUCAUGAGAUAUAAUUGAACAUAAUAAAUAUAAUAAUUUUUUAAUUUAUUAACAAAUUGAUCAAUGCAAAGAAAGGUGAAAAAAUUCAAAAAAGGGAGAAAAAGGAUAAAUAAGAAUGGUGGCCAUAGAGAGGUGUCACAUCAUCCUUGUCUUGUUCUUGUCUUGUUUCUCCCUUAUAUAUAUAUAUAUUGAUAGUUAUAUUUUAUCUUUUUAUUUCUCACUUGGUGGAAUUAUAUUGAAUAUGCUAUAUCUUAUAUUUUUUACUCUACUCUAUUUAUAAUGACUCUACUAUCUCACACCUGAUUUUUUUUAUUUAAUGAUAACUAUAUAUAAGUUAACUUUUCAGAUCCAUAUAUAUGAUAUUAUGUAAUAACCAUACAAACAUACUUUUAUAAUCUAUAUCUAUAUUAUAUUAAAAGUGUGAAGGACCUUAGAAAUAAUGUUUGAAUUUUUUACCCUUCAUUAAGAGUUUUUGCUUUAGAUAAAAUCGUCUUUUCACUACUUUUCCUAAUAUAUAAGAGUUGAAAAUUAAUUAAAUAUAUUUAUGGUAAAACCUUUUCUUAUUAGAAUCAUCAGAAUUAAUGACAAGUAAUUCUUUUCCAUUAGUUUAAGAAUUCUAAAUCAACUAAAUUUGAUUUUAAGAAAAUUUAAAAAAUUUAAGAAUAAAUAUAAAAACGUUUGAUAAAAUAUCCGCAAUGGAUAAAAUCAUUUAAUUUUAAAUAAUCAAAUGUUACACGUGUGAGGCACUUGCGGCUAAACUAGUCUCAUGAUAAAACCAAACGACCCCUCAAGUAAAGAAUUAUUGAUCAUUAAGGACAAUUUCAAAAAUGGAUAAGCCGGUAAGUGGAAAUUUUUUUUUUUGGUAAUUAAGAGGCAUUCCAUAGAUAAAUAAACUGGAGUUAACAGUUUGGGAGCUCAAUCAGACUCCAUCACAAAAAUAAGUGGGCGAUUUCCACUGUUUUGAUAAGAAGGGACCUUGUGUAGGUAGCAUUUCCCUUCCAAAUCAGCCCAAACGUCCUGAAUUACAAAGUGGGGAGGGUUUUAAAAACUUUACAACUUUCAAAAUAAUCCAUCUAAGCUACAACCUUAGCCAACGAGUCAACUACUUUGUUUUCUUUCCUGUAACUAUGGUGAACAGGAGGUCUGUCCAAUCUUCUUAUCAAAGACCUGCAAUCAUGAAUAAUUGGGUUAUACAAUAAAUUCCCCUUUUCUAACCAAUUAAUACCCUCCUCAAAGUCCACAUAGACCUCUACAGGGCAUAAGUUGUGCUCCAUUACGAUUUAUAGGCUUUUCUAAGGGUCAUCAAUUUUAUGAGGUUAUUGGAGACAUGGUGGAAACUUUGCAUGAAGCCUAGCACCCAACUGCCCGACCCAUUUCUCACCACCCCACCAAUACCCCCUUUUCCAGGAUUUCCAUACAAUACCCAUCCGUAUUAAGUUUAUAGGCGUUCCUGGGGGGGGGGGUAUCCAGCUUAAGGAAAUAGUGAUUCUUGGGUUCCUAUCGGGAUGCUUGCUUAUGAAAUAGAAUUCCACAGCUUCAGAGUAGGCAUUCCUAAAUAAGGGAGGAUAAUUCCUAUUGUUAAAAGCCUUAUUUUUCCUGGCUUUCCAAAUGUUCCAAAGGCAGAAGGGGAGAAAAAAGGUCCAGUCAACUUUAUUGUCAAAACUAGUAUGGUUUAGGAUUCUCCGGGUGGUAUCCUAAUUGGGAGGGGAAAAGCUAUGAAUAGUGAUGUUGGCCUUUCCCUGGUAGGAGAUCAUGAUGUUUCUCCAGAGAGAAUUGGCCUUGUUAUAUUCAAAGAAGAGGUGUUGAAUGUCUUCUUAGGGAUGAGUGCAGGAGGGGCAUACUGGACUUGUGUUGAUGCCCCUGCUAUGCAAGGUUUUCCUAGUAGGGAGGCUAUUGUGGUUCAAAAUACAAAAGAAGAAUUUUAUCUUCUUCGGAAUGACAGCUUGCCAGAUCUAGCUCCAGGAUCUGUUGUUGUUGUGGAGGGUUACUUUUUAGCAUGGAUGUGGGCAUAGGCACUCUUACAUGAUUAUAUUCCAGACCCAUUUAACAGCCAAGGAGGUGUAUCCGGCUGAAUUGCAUGAUUAGGAAAAAAAGUAUUUUUGAUGAUAUGAAGGAUGUUAGAGAGGAUUUCAAAGGAGAGGGUGUUGAAGUUCCAAUUUUCAUUAUUUCGGAAACUGGUUAGAGAGGUAGAAGUGUUAUGGCCUGGAUAAAGACCCUGGAUAAUGUUCUUGAGAGGAGGAAGGCGGGGAUCCAACAGUUCUCCUAAGCAUCCACCUUAUUGUCAUUGUAGAUAGACCAGCAGGUAGCAUCUCUACAGAGGUUCUAGCCUCUUUGAAUGUUUCUCCAAGUUCUAGAGGUACUGGAGGGGAUGCUGUUUGAAUUCAGGUUAUAUUUAUGAUUCCAGAUAUUAGCCCAAAGGCUUGUGGGAUUAAAGUUCAGUCUCUAAGCAAGACUACUAAGGAGGGUGUCCUUUUUUAGGUAAACUUUUUGUAACCCCAAUCCCCCUUCCUUCUUUGGUCUAGUCAGAGUCUCUCAUUUGACCAUGUUCAUCUUUCUUCUAGAGUCCAAGGAGCCCCAUAUGAAGUUCCUUUGGGACCAAUCAACGAGCUUAUGGAUUUUUCUAGGCAGAAGGAUGAAUUGUAUGAUAUGAUUGGGUAUGCUGCUAAUGCAAGAUUUAGCUAGAGUGGUCCAGGGGGAAAUGGAAAUCAGAAUUAACAGUCUUCUUAGUGAAAGUGGGGAAGCCCAAGUAUUUCUUAAAAGGUAUUGCUGGAUUUGAUGCCUAGGAUGGAGGAGAGGUUUUGCUUAGAAGCUUCACUGCAGUUCCUGGAAAACAAGUCCUUAGAUUUAUUUCUAUUGACCCUUUGACCUGAGUGCUUGCUGAAGCUGUCUAGAGUGCCAAUGAUGGUAUGGCAAUUUUGUACAUUGGUUUUGGCAAAAAGAGUCAGGUCAUCAACAAAGAAUAGGUGUGAAAUUUUGGGUCCCCUGCUGCUUAUAAAAAUGGGGGACCAUUGUAGGAUGUCCACCUCAUAAUUGGUUCUCUUGGAGAGUAAUUCCAUAUAGAGGAUGAAGAGAUAGGGUGACAUAGGGUCCCCUUGUCUUAUCCCUCUGGUAGGUUGGAAGGAGGGAAUUAUAUUUCCAUUCACCAGGAUAAAGAUAGAAGAAGAAGAGAUGCAAGAGAGAAUGCGCUGAGAGAGGCCAAGGGGUAAAUUGAAAAAGGCUAAAACUUGUAUGAUAAAAGACUAUUCAAUUCUAUCAAAGUCCUUUUCUAGAUCAAUUUUCAGGAUCAUGUUGGGAUUAGAGCCCUUCAUUUUCCUGAAGUGAUCUAAGUAUUCCUGGACAAUGAUGACAUUAUCACAGGCUCUCUUUUUAGGCAUAAAAAUGUCUUGGUUAUGCCCAAUGAUGGUGUGAAGGAGGGGUUUUAGUCUAUUGGUAAUAAUUUUGGUGAUGAUCUUAUACUGAGUAUUGCACAGCCCAAUGGGCCUGAAGUUUUUUAAGGAGGUUGCAUUUCUGCAUAUGGGAAUGUGGCAAAGGUAAGUGGUAUUGAAUGUAGGGUUCAUUUUACAUGAGGUGAAGGUUUCUUUACAUAACUCAUGGAUCAGGGGGGCCAUGCUGUCCCAGUAUCUUUUGUACAUGAAGGGAUGCAUCUCAUCAGGGCCAGGAGCUUUGGUAGGGCCAAAGGAGAACACAACCCUUUUAAUCUCAUCAAGGUUAGGAAUGGAACCAAGUAAAGAGUGGGAAGAAAGAUUAAGGGAACCCUAGGUAGAGGGAUUUGUUUGAACUCUGAGGGGAGAGUAGGUGUGCUCAAAGAAAUAGAGUUUUGUAGAAAGAGGUGAUUGCAUUAGAGAUCUCAGAGGGUUCAAAGAUCCAAUAUCCAUUGUCUUAGAUAGAGUUGAUUCUAUUUCUUUUUCUCCUAUUCAGAGUGGAAGUGUGAAAGAAUCUUGUAUUCCUAUCCCCCUCAAUAAGCCGGUUGAUCCUGGAUUUGUGUUUCUAGAACUCAUUUUCCUGGUCAAACAAGUAAUUAAAAUCCUUGGUAAGAGAGGCUUCUAGGUUUUGGAGAAAGGGGAUGGUGGGGUAGUGAAUGAAUUUUUGAAUACCUACUAACUUGGCAAGUAUCUGCUUUUUGGUUUUGAAGAUGUUGCCAAAGGUUUCUUUAUUCUAGGUUCUUGCUAUGUCAACAAAGAGGAGGGUUGCAUUAGUGAGGUCAUCUCCCUUAGGGANNNNNNNNNNNNNNNNNNNNNNNNNNNNNNNNNNNNNNNNGGAAAGAGUUGAGGAUGAGAUUGUUGAAAUCAGGAUGGUUGCACCACAUGAAUUCCACCCUGAAGGAUCUAGAAAGGGAUUAAGGAGUUCUACUGAGGCUUAGAAGGAGAGGGGAGUGGUCAGAGUGGAUUCUAAGAAGGUGGGUGACAGAGGCCUCAGGAUAUAGGUGGACCCAAUGGUCAUUAACUAAACACCUCUCUAGUCUUUCUAAGAUGGGGCCUUGUUUGUUUCUAUAUCUCAUAUUGGACCAGGUAAAUUUACUGCCAAUGAAGCCCAGGUCAAUGAGAUUGAACUUGUUGAUGCAAUCCCAGAACAAGGAGGACAUGUUAAUAUUUAUGGGGUUGCCUCCAGAUUUUUCACUAGCCCUUAAGAUCUUAUUAAGAUCCCCCCACUACCCAGCUGUUGAUGCCCAUGUAGGGCAAAGAAUUGGGAAGAGAGAUAAGUUGGUCCCACAGAAGUUUUCUAUUAUUAAAAUCAAUACUAGCAUAUACAAUGCUAAGGAUCUAGCGAGAGUUUUGAGAUUUUACCUUAACAAAGGCAUAAAUAGCCUGAGGGGAUAUGGAGAGGCUGGUGAUGGAGAUAUUGUCCUCUUUCCACAUAAUUAUUAUGCCCCCUGAGUUUCAACUAGCACUGAACUCAAUGUAGUUGUGGUAACCAAGGUUAUUAGAGACAUUUUUAUGAUCCACCAUCUUGGCUUCAAGAAGGGCCAAGAUGCAGGGGUGGUAGAUACUAAUCAUGGAUUUACAUUGCUUCAUGAAUUCUACUCUAUUGGCUCCCCUAAAAUUCCAGAUCAAACAACUCUUUAUCAUAGUUUUGUGGAGUUGAUGGAAGCCUUGCAGUAUCUCUUUCCCCUUUUCUAAUGAGUUGGAGAGGGCAUGCAUCUCUAGGCUCUUCCUUUUCUUCGAUAGAGGAGACAUUUUUGUAGUGAAAUACUCCCCUAUCAUAAGGUUUGGCACAUUUAGCUUUAGGCCUAAUUUUGUCAAUGGAUGAGGUAAGAGAACAAUGACCAUCUCGUGUAUGAGGUCUAUGAACGCUAUAUUUACAGGUCUUUCUAGCGUGAAGACAUCCAUUUUGGGGAUUCUCAGUUGUGCUAAAAGGCCUUCUAGUUUUCUAUUUCCUUCCCUCAGGGCUUCUAUGGUUUUUACUCUUUCUAGCCUCUCUAGUGACAUGGGAGAUGGGGGUGGGGUGGGGGUGGGGGUCGUUAUUGAGACUGAGAGAGGUUGGCUCCCCCCAGGAAAGCUCACAAAAGUUGGGCCCUGUGCCAACAGAAGGGAAUUUGAGAGUUAGAAGAAGGGGAGGCUGACACUUAUCUGAUUCAUCAUGGAUGAUAGGUUUUCUGGGGUCAGUUCCAGUUGAAAGGUUGACCCUAUUACAUAGAACAGGGUUUCCAUCCACAUAUAUUGUCCAUAGUUGGACAGACCCUGACGUAGGCAUUCUAUGACUAGGAGCGCCAGGUAUCUGCGAUCCUGGAUGAGUAAAGUGACCUGCCUCCUCUCCCAUUGCACGUGUAGUGGUACAGUUUGGCUCAUAAGGCAGACCUCCAACCAAGAAGUUAGGAGGUGGUCUAUUAGAAGCGUUUCCGUGAUCAGUGUGAUCAUAUCAAAGCUUUGUGGUGGAUUCAUCACUAUCCUUUUUUGAAGAAUGGGAAGUAGCCAUGUUGCUGGAUUGAGAUAUAGUAAGAGAGGGAGUUGAAGAGGCCUCAACCUUGGUAUUGACAUUAGCAUUAAAUGCAAUGUCUGCGUAAUGGACAGAGUCCAUCAAAUCACCCUUCGAAUCGAAAAGGUUUCUGACGGGCGUGGGGGGAUUUUUAGCUGCAGGCUCAUGAUUGUCUGAGCUGAGCUGGCUCUGAUAGGCCCAUAAAUCUUUUUUUAAUUUUUAAUUCAACUAAGGAAUGGGUACUGUUUAAAUUAGAAAUAGAAUAAGAAGGCCCCUAUUUCCCUAAAGUGGGCCUGUUCGAGUUGACAGGGGUAUUGGGUCUCGAAAGAGAGGAGGCCUUAAGUUCUUCAUCAUACUUGGCCUACUCCAUAGGGGUAUCCACUUGGUAAUUGGAUACCGAAUUUGGGCCUGGCCCAAUUUUUUCUAUAGAUGGGGGGUCUGGCAGUUGGCCCAAUUUUGCUUUGCCCUAGGAGGGCCCAGAAGUGUUAGGCUGCCCUAACCUUUCGCCUUCGCCAUAGUGUCGGGAAGUCAGAAACUUACCUACCGUUGUUCCUCUAGCCUUGUCGAAGUUUUGGUUUGGAGCUGGGUCGUCUGAGGGAACCCGGUUUCUCUGUUUGUUUUUCUGGAAGGACACUGUGUGCCAUUCCCCUUUUGGUGUAGACGUUUUAUCCGGUGAUGGGUUUUCUUGGACGGGCGGGUCUUGUUGGUCGUGGAAACUAGUGGUUGUGUGACAUAAUUGACCACAUGAAGUGCAGAGGAUCCCCUCUCCUUCGUAUACUAUCUCUUGAUAGUGUCCUAUGUUGAUUGAGGUCAAUACGGGUAUGCCCAAUUGGAUUUGAAUGCAUAAUCGGGCAUAACGACCUCGUAGGGUAGUCGAUGUACAUGCAUUGAUCUUUAGAAGCCUCCCAAUACUUAUUUCCACCCUUUGUAGGAUUUGGGAGUCGUAGAACUCAGUGGGGAGUUGUGGUAGGCGUAGCUAGAUUGCGGUUGAUUCGAUCUGUGCACAGCUCGACACAAAAUUCGGCUCCCAUUUCCUUACUGAAAUGAAUGUUCCGGUGAUAAACCAUGGUCCUCCUUGGAGGGAUUCUGCUUGACUCUCUGUGUCUUUGAAUUUUACAGUACAGAAGCCCGAUACCAAAUCAAUGAGGCAUAGGGGGCGUAAGGGCUUCCACAGAGCCUCUAAUUUGAUUUUGAGGUACUGGCGAGCAAAAUUCUUCCGCAACGGUUUGAUGAUUACGGAUAAUUUCCAAGGAUCGUAGAGGCGAGCCUUCUUUUCCAUUGAGAGGUUGAUUAGAUCCAAUUCCAAGAGGUCAUCGUCCUCUUCGAAAUUUGCUGAAUUGCUAGGGGAGGGUAGUUGAUUGGUGAUGACGUCCUUGUAGGUUGGGUUAUUUUCCUGCAUUGGAACAUCGUUGGUAGGGAAGUUGGGUAUCGAAAGAGAAUAGAGAGUCGACAUCAGGGUCGAUAGGUCAAUAGGAAUGGAAGCAAGUUAGAGAGAAGCAGGACAUUCUCUCUCUAACCCAUCUCUUUAAUACAAUACUUUGGUAAGUGGUAAUUAAUAUAACGUCUCAUUAGCAAUAUGAAACUCUGCUUUACCAACCUAGCUAAUUUAUUGAUACCUAGUACAUAUGGUGUUGGUUUGCUGUUAUAGAAAUCUGAAUAAAUACCAUGGCGUUUGAUCACUAUAUUAUAUUUUGUACAUCUAUAUUUAACUUUUCAUUUAAUGAGAUUUUUAAGUAUUUUACUUUUUCUUGGAGAAUAAUUUAAAAUAAUUAGAAGGAAAAUAGUGAAAAAUAGCCUACAAUUUAUAGUCUUAAAUUUAUCUUUUCAUAAAGAGUUGUGUCGUACUUCAAAAAUUCACUUAAUAUGAAAUGAAGGGAGCAUUAUUUUUGGAGUCAACAUGCAGUAUCAAUAUAUUUUCUUUUAAGAAAUCGAACACCAUAUAUAGGGUUAAAGUCAAGACUAAUGAAGAAGAGGCAUUAAUAUCAAGCCCAAAAGUUGAACAAGAAUUAGAAAAUUACACAAAAUAAUGACACAGUACAAGGGAACUUGUUUGUAAAAGAAAAAAAUCAAGAUGACAAGAAGAAAGGAACCAAAAACUGCAUUAAACAACAACAAAAAACCCAUUGUAUUCCAUCAUAGUGGGGUCUGGGGAGGGUAAAAUGUACGCAGUCCAUACCACUACCUCCAAAGAAGUAGAAAAGUUGUUUCAGAACAGUACACAAAUUAAAGUCGUAAUAAAAACAUGAAGCAAUAUGGAAUAAAAAUAAGAAAUAAGACACCCACAAAGUAAUACCAUAACACUAACAAACCAACAAAUCAAAAAUGCCCACCACACCCAAACUCUCCUAACUAGCAGCUCCAACCUAUGGACACAACCCUAAGACUACUAGCCUAGCUACACCAAAGCUCUCCUAACAACCGGCUACGACUCACCCACACGCACUAACCUUCUAACCUAAUUCACGUCGUCCAAACCUUACUGUAUAAGGUCAUGUUCUCAGUAAGCAAGAAUGUUGUGAAAUGUGUUCCUUUCUUAUUAUUUUGUGUUAAAUCUGGUACUAUAUUGAAGAAGGGAAUGUCAAGCCUGAAGAUUGAAAUUUCUCCAACGUUAUGUCAUCAAUUGCUUUUGCCAUAUCCUUGGUCAAAUAAUUCUUCCAAUCGCCAAUUUUUCCUUUUCGAAAAAACAUACUGUUGUGAAGUCCCUGAGUUUCUGGCCGAUGCAAGCUGCUUUUGUUCACCUCUAAAUUGCUCAAGCUUUUGAAAUUACAGCGUGCCACGAUUUCUUCAGGCACACCUCAUGUUUCUUCUUCCAUAGAGAAAGGUCUCUUCAUGAAGUCCGCCAAUUUUUCACAUAGUACAAUGUGUCCUUCUUCAAAUCUUCAUACUUCAAGAACAAUACUUUUUCAGGUCUCUCAACAUCAUGACUUGCUUCCCAAUAUCCCAACACGUGAUUUCCGUAAGGUCCAUAAGUUGCUUUGCCUUCACAAAACCCCUUGAAUUGGUGUAAGAAUAUUUGCUACUGAUUCAUAUUGAUCAAAUAGCUUUUGAUUGAAUCUCCACAAAGAAACAAAGGUAUCUUUGGGUUCUCUAUAUAUAUAAAUGAUCUUGCAAUUGGAUUCUAGUAUGGAUGGUGGUAAUUGAGUGUAAGGAACAUGUGUGGAUAAUAAUGGUAACUCUGUGUCUAUAAAUUUAGGGUUGGAGAUAAAAUCAACUUCCAAAAAGGGUAGGCAAUCAUGGGGUACCUUAUUGAGUAAAGGGUUAUUUGUAGAGUCGUCAUCAUGAAAAUAUGCCUAGUCAUAAUGGAAAAGGUUAAAGCUUUAAGCCAAGUGGUGCUUGUUUUCAUAGUACUGCAAAGGAAAAUAUCAGAGGGCUGAGCCUUGAAGUUUUCUUGCAUAUAUAAAAUUACUUGGAAGCAUUCAUAACUAGGAUAGGAAGGCUCUAGUUUGGGGAGGGUUGAUAUUAUAUCUUUGUAUUUUUCACACAUUUUCUUAAAAUUUUCUGAUCCAUAAUUUACGGAUAAACGACUAGAUUUGCAAGGAAAAAAAUUAGAAAACUUCUCUAUUGAUAUGAAGGAGAGUUUUGGUAGUAUAUAUAUGGCAAAAUGGUUCAGUGGACCCUUGUACUAUGUCCGUCAUCUCGAUCCUUGAACUCACUAAAAAAUAACAUUUUAAAUACUUUUUCGGUGAGUGUAACACACUCGCCCCACGUCAGCUGCCAUGUCAUCUUCCAUUUCUUCUUACUUUUUGCUGUUCUUCAUUCUCCAUUUUUUCUUCUUUUUCUUAUUCUUCUCCCUCCUCUUCUCCUUCUUUAAUAGAAUGAGUAAAUGUUUUUUAAUGAGUUCAGGGGUGCAAAUGACAAACAUUGAAUACUUUUAAUAAAUAAAAGUAUUCACAUUACAAAACAGACAUAGUACAAGGGUCCAUUAAACUAUUUUGCCUAUAUAUAUAUAUAUAUUGCAUGCAAGUCCUUUGCUCAUUCAUGGUUCUACAGUAUAUCAUUAAUAAUCCUAUCUCUACCACUCUAUCUACACACCACAUAUUCAUACACCCUUUUAUCUUGUUGCUUUCAUUGCCAACAAGGCUUCUAUAAUAUCAGGAUAAAAGCAAAGGACCCACCCUCAAGUAUUGAAUUAUUGAUUCCAAAAAUGAAUUGGACCAGUGCGGCAGGCCGAUGACCAAUUUAACAGCUAAUUGAUGGAUUUCUAAUUUAUUGUUUGGUUUUAUGUUAUACAACUCUGAAUAAUUACCGUGGUGUUUGAAUCACUGUAUUAGAUGUUUGGUUCUAGAUUAAAAGUGUGAAUAGAAAAUGGAGGGAAUUAAGUGGAGGAAAAAAUUGAGAUACUAAUACUUAAAAAGGAAAGUGUAGUAAAAAAUAAGAAAAGUCUACUAAUUCUCCACAUUGGUGGGAGAAUGAAACUUUUAUGUGUUUAUAUUAAGAAACACAAACUCCACAUGAUAAAUGGGCAAGAACUAAAAGGUGCCUCGCGCUGCCGUUGUUGUUGCUUGGCUUCGACUACGCACUAGUGUUUUGUUCCUCUUUCGAAUGGACAUACAUGACUAUUCAAAAAAGAUACACCUUUUCGAUGAAUCAUUUUCUCCUUUCCGAAGAGGCAUUUUAUGGAUAUAUAAACCUGUAUUUUUUCACAGGUUUGGCACAAAAUUUUCAAAUAUUAAACAAUAUUGAAGCUAUUUUAUUUUUUCAAAUAUUAAACAAAAGAGAAAAAUUGAAAAUGGAAUCAAGAGGAGCGCUCUUCUAACUAAAACUUAGUUACUUAUUAAACUCUCCAAAAAUAUUAGGGAAAUUUACGUAAAUCCCGACAAGUUUACUCAUAUUUAUAUCUUAUCUUGAUUUUUUUCAAAAUCUCUUAAAAUUUUAUUUUUUUGAUUUGCAGAAACAUAUAAAUUAAGUGAGAUACAAGUUAAUGAUACAUCUUAUUAUUUAACUGAUUAGCUUAAAUUAAGGGAUGUAACAGUUAUUGAAAUAUUUAAUUAGCAAUUAACUCAUCCAAUCAUCUAAUUAACUAAAAAAAAUCCUUUAAAAGACAGUGUAUUGUUAUCAAUUAAAUUUUUUUUACAUAUUCAUCUCCAUAAUCAAUAUGCAGAUUCAUUCUUAUUCUUCUCUUUUUUUUUUUUCGUGCUAUUGAUUCGUUCUUCAUCUUUUUUUUAAAAAAAAAUGAUUUUCACUAAAGUUAUGUAUUUAUUUUUUAUUUUUUUCAAUCAAAUUUAAUUACUGUUGUGACACAAUAUUUUUAUUUUUCAAUGUUAGGAAGCAUAUCGCCAAUUUUGUACGGUGUUGUUGACACAGAAAAAUGACAUAACAUUCACAUAAUACUACUUUUAUCUCUUAUAAGAGAUAUACAAUAUUUUGAAACAUACAUGUAUCUACAGUAAUAUCUACAUUUUCAUAUGUAAGAGAUACAUACUAAACAUAUAAGAACCUUAAAUGUAUCACUUCUUGUAAUAUAACAUGUAUCUCUCUUAUGCAUUUUUCACCCUAAAUAAAACAAUACGAGAGAUACAUACUUAUACAAUGUUAGAUACUCAGAGAUACAAUAUAAAAAAAAAAUAAGACGUAAUCAAAUAUGUAUCUCGGACUAAAAUAUAGACAAUUAACAAAUAUUAAAUACCUUUAGAAAGGCAUCUGUAGUUGUAGCUUCAACAACUCUUCUUCUUUUUGCACAAAUUAUACCUCCUGAACUGGUAGAUCCUCUUUUCGUAGAAGCACCCAUUACUAAACCUUUAAUAAAACACUGAUACAAUGUUGGAUUGGAUUUUGAAUAAACUCACAAAGAAGAUCAUUCAAACAUUGGAGACUAUACGAAGAUAAUCCCUUGAUUUCGAAAUUGUUUGAACAUAUAUCUACUUGAUGGAGUUCACCUAUUACCUAUAACAAGAAUUCCUUUUGAGGGCACUCUCGAGUAUCAAGUAUGGACGUAAGUGCAGGACUCUCCUAUGCCCCCAUUCAGUAGAAAGAACAGUUUAAGAGUUGUUUCGAAUUAACUGAUGCAGGUUUAAUUUUUUGAAGUUUACAACUUUUAAACACAGGUUUAACAAAUUAAAUUAGAGAAAAAAAUAAAGAUGGAAACUACCGUUUAGCAAUUGUUCAACACUAAUAAGAUGUUAAUGAAGUUGAAAUUGGGGACAACGACUAAAAUUUAAAAACAAUGCAAAACUUAGAAUAUCUGUGCAGUUGUUGGAGCAGAUCCAGCUUCAGAUAGUUGUAGCCGUGAAAAUAGGGUAUAUAAUGGAUGUAUCGGGUGUUUUGAGUGGAAGGAGGAAAAAAAGGAAUUUUUGUAAUUUUAAUACAUGAUAUCCCUUUGUUUCGUAUUAGUUGGCCCAUAUGGACUUGGCACACCUGUCACACCCCUUUUUCACUCGAGGUUCAAAUGGAAAGAUUUUUUCAAUUAAAGUGACGAUAUUGAAUAUGGAUUAUUUUCUUUACAGAGUCGCCACUUGAAAUUGAGUUAUGGUGUUUCAAGUCACCUUUUUGAAUCCCUAGUUAAAAGAAAAUGACUCUUAUUUGGUCUGCAAAAACAGAAGAUUGGGUGAGGAAUCUCGUGGUUCUAGUACGGUCGCUUUAUUGACUUUUACUUAACUAAAACUAUUUUUUAUAAAUUAUGUUAAGGCCUAAAAUUACUCAUUUUUUAUCAUACCGAAAACUUGUCUAUUAUCUUAUAUUUAAAUAAAUCAAUGAAAAUUAAUUUUAGAAAAAUAUUUGUCGAGGUGCAUUAUUGCAUCCUUGAAUUAUUUUUAAAUGUCUCAAAAAGAUGAGUACGCGCAUUCUUAAUUGAGACGAAAAUUUUAAACGUGCCUAAAAUUUGUCUAAUGUUAAAGGCUUACCUACUCGAAAUAGCAUCUAACUUUAACAAUAAAUUUGAGCAAAAUUCAUUUUAAGAUGAUCAAUUAAUUUAAUAAAUAAAUAAUUAUUAAACUUCAUUAAUGAUAAUAAAAUAAUAUAAUAGUAAAAAUAAUAAAUGAUAAAAAUAUACAAAAAUUACUCUUAUUAUACUAAAUUUUAUUAUGACCCCAUUUAUUCUUUUAAAUUAAUACAAAUUCAAAAACCACUUAAAAAUAAUUCUUUUCUUUAAUAUAUUUAUAUAAUGAUUAAAAAAUAAUUUUUAAACAACCAAAAAUUGGACAGUUUUUAAAUAUUGUGCAGAAUAAACAUCAAACUAACUAAAAAAAUGUUAGACUGCUUUUUUUUUUUUGAAAUCCGGCAAUCACAGCGGCUGUAAGGUUAGCCGGUCGGAGAGGGAGGGGAAGGAGGAAGAGGAAAAAAGGGGAGAGGUAAGUGGUAGCACUGGUUUUAAACGUUUUUCAACAUGGGAUUCGCCGGUGAGGGCUGUUAGACGCCGAAAAAAGGAAAGAAGGGUGGCGAAGGUGAUUCUAGUGGCAGUUCACCAUUUUUCGGUGAGAGAUCUGGCGGAUAUGGUCAAUUUGUGGUGGUUUUGGACGGAAUGUGUAAUGACCCUUACGAUGUAUUUUUUAUAUAAUUUUAGUAUUAUCUAAAUUUAUCGUGGAUUAUAUAAUUUAAUUUGGCAUUUGAUAGAAAUAUAAUUUAGUAUCCUUAUAGAAUAUAUUUGAUACUGAUAAAAUUCUUUAAGCGAUGAUAUAUUUAUAUUAUUUUAUAAUAGAAUUUUAUGAUUUAUUAAUAUUUUAAGCGGAGAUAAUAAAUUUAGAAAUGUUAAAAUAUUAUUUUUAUACAAUACAGGUUUUAUUAGAAAUAAUUUUCUCUAAUAAUUUUUUAUUAAUUAUGAUAUAUUCAAAAUAUUACAAUUUAUGCAAUAUCCAAAUAUAUACGUGAUGUAGAAAGCUAUUACUUAUGGCGAAUUAUCACCACACGUGGGAAAAAAUUCUUGACAUAACAUGGUGUUAGCUUGGCAGCCAUACACUUGCCAUUUGAAAAAGGUCUUUACCUGUUUUAUAUAUAUAUUCACACUUAUGUAUUGACACAACCAUUAGUAGUGGUAUUAUGAAAUAGAUAUUUCUUUUUCAAAAGGCAACCGAAGUGCUUUUAUGCAUGUACUGCUCGUUUAUAUGUAAUCUGUAGCCAAGGUUUUGGGCGAAAAUAUUUUGAAACCAUUGGAACAUCAAGCAAAAAUAUAAGUUAAUUAUUCGAAUCAAUUAUUCAAAUUCGGAUUUUAGCGUGAUAUUAUUCGGAGGUUUCGGGGCAGAUAUUCUAGCUUUGGCGUUUAGGUAGGUUAGGUUUACCCUACUUUUAGAUUGAGCUUAUAUACCGAAAUUGUGAACUAUUAUGCUAGCGUUGAAUAAAUACUUAUAGAUGCAUAUUAUUUGAUUUAUAUAAAUUGUCUUAUUUAUCCGGAUUAAGGCCUCGUUCUAGUAAAUAUUUAAAUAUUAUCUUUUAACAUAAUAUAGCAUCUAUUACUUUAAAACAUGAAGUUAAAAUGCAAAAAUCUUGAAUUUAUCCCUUUUUAAUUAAGAUUAAUAAAUGAUUAUUUAGACAUUUAUAUUGUUAUGAUAUGGAUUUUAAUAUUAUCGGUGGACUAUGAUUACUAUGAGUUCUGAUUCGAGUCCGGCAAUUGACUAUUAUGAUUACUAUGAGUUCCGGUUCGAGUCCGGCUUCUGAUUAUAGUUGGGGUUACUCUGAGUUUCGGUUCGAGUCCAGCAUCUGAUUAUUUAUGUUUACUUUCACCACUUGUGUGUCCCACCGGCUUAUGGGGGUACGGUUGGAUUAAUUGUCUUCUUCAGUGUGUCUAGUUCAGUGUGUCUAGCGGGCUUAUUGGGGCUCAGUUAGGCUAUGUUUGAUUUAUUUGUUAUUACUACAUUAUUAUUUUUUUGUAUUGCACAAGUUUAUUCCUUUACAGCCGUUGCAUAGCUUGGUAGUUGUUUACUUUUCCAUCCCUACUUACUAAUGACUCAGAUUAUGCCCUCGCAUUGUAGUUAUACCUUUUCUGUAUUAAGCUCAGUCGGCCGAUGAUGCUUACUGAGUACCUGUAGUUUUUGGUACUCAUACUACACUUCUGCAUCUUUUUCCUGAUGCAGAUCUAGGUACUAACCGUCGGCGUUGACGCGGUUCCUACCUUUCAGUGCUGGUUUAGAGCAGGGUGAGCUUACUGUCGUCCGAGGCUACUCUAGUUAGUCUUUUUCACUCGAGACUACUUGUGUACAUUUUAGAUUUUUGUCUAGUACUCUGGGUACCUGUUAGUAGUGGCUCUAAUACUGACUUUAUCAGGUCUUGGGAGAGAUUCAUUUUUAUAGUUGGUCCUUUUUUCUCCUCUCGUUUUUUAUAUAAUACAUAUGCUUUCUUCUUAGUUUUCACUUAUUAUUGAGGUUGUUAUUAUCAUAUGCGAUCUUUUAUUUUAUCUCUGCCUAAUAGCCCAUUACCUAUCAUUCCGGGCUAUGGUUUGGCUUGCCUACUGGUGGGAUAAGGUAGGCGCCAUCACGAUUUGAGAAAUCGGGUCGUGACAAAAUGAUGGAUUACCGGCGAGUUUUCACCGGAAUUGACCUUUACGGGUUGGAUUUGUGGGUUUCCCGAUAGUUUUCGGCGACAGAGUUUUCCGGCGACUUCUUGUCGGAAAAACGAACUCCCCAUUCGAUUUUUUCAUUCUUUCUCUCUCUCUAUUAUUUAUUCCCCGAUUCUCUAUGUGUUUUCACUAUUUUUCAUAUUCUGUACUUCGUGUGUGUGUGUAGAUGUUCAUCCCAAAACAAAAAUGGAGGUUGUGUGUGCUGUGUAAAAAAAAUGAAAGUGUAUAUUUGUAAAUUGGUCUCUGUGAAUAUGUGUUGCUAUUUGCAAGUUUCCCCUCUGUAUUAUGUUACCAAAUGUUCUCACUGUGCAUGUAUGUUCAUUUUUAUUUUUCUACUUUUUCUUUUUUAUUUCUUUUCUUGAUUUGAUAAUUUUAACACACAACAUUUAAACAUCCAACAUAUCUACAUACAAAUACAUUAAGCAUUCUGUAACUUGAUUAUGUAACGUGCAACAAUAUAAAAUUUGCAUAAUCAAUUAAUUAUAUAUACUGCUUGAGACCAGUUGAAUAUUCCAUUCAUACUUUUCACAGGAGAUUUACAACAUUAACAGAAAUAAGAUCAUAAUAGAACCUGUAUGCCAACUUAAUUGAAUACAAAAGCAAGAGGUUAUCACCGAAAACUUCAACUUUAACUUUCUCCUUUUCUCUCUUUUGUUUGAUAUUUCGUUUUUCUGAUUUUUCACUCUUUCUCAAUCCUUCUCUCUGAUUUAUUUUAUCAGACACUGAUGUUUUCUUUCUGAACAGUGUAGGCAGAAAACAGUACGUAUGUUUUUUCUCUGGGUUGUCUGGGGUAAGAAGAGUCCUUAAAUAGGAAAAAAUUGGGGGGAACAGUUACAUAAGAUAAGGGAGGGGGUUUAAAUUUUAAUUUUUUUUUAUAAAUAAUAAUAAUAAUAAUAAUAAUAAUAAUAAUAAUAAUAAGUACGUAUGUUUUUUCUCUGGGUUGUCUGGGGUAAGAAGAGUCCUUAAAUAGGAAAAAAUUGGGGGGAACAGUUACAUAAGAUAAGGGAGGGGGUUUAAAUUUUAAUUUUUUUUUAUAAAUAAUAAUAAUAAUAAUAAUAAUAAUAAUAAUAAUAAUAAAAAUAAAAAAUAAAAUAAUAAAUAUAAUAAUAACUAAUUAAUUUUUAUAUUUAAGAAAAUACAAUAACAGUUUAAAUAACCAAAAAUAAAUAUAAUUAAGAUAGUACUAAAAAUACUAGCUUAUUUAUUUAAAAUUUAUAAAGAAAAAAAUAUAUUUUAAAUUUUGAAUUAUUUUUAAAAUAAAAAUAAAAUAUCCCAAAAAAUAACUUUAUUUAUUUAUUUAUGGCAAAAUGGUUCGGUGAACCCCUGUACUAUGUUAGUUUUGUAAGUUGGACACUUCUACUGACAUGUUUGUCAUCUAGAUCCUUGAACCCAUUAAAACACAACAUUUUAAAUACUUUUUUGGUGAGUGUAACACACUCUCCUCACGUCAGCUGUCACGCCUGUCACGUCAUCUGCCACAUCAUUUUCAAGUAUUACAUUAAAUUCCAAAUCAUUUUUAAAAUACUACAUAAUAAAUUAAAUAUUAAAAUUAAUUUAUUUAAAUAAGAAAAUUUUAUAAAUUGUAGAAAAAUUUGAAUAAUAAUAUUUUUAUUUUUUCUCGCAAAUUAAACAUCAAAUUCAUUCUAAAUAAUUAAAAUUCAUCUCCAACUAAUUUAAAUUUUUAACUAUAAAUUCAUAUAUACAUAAAUAAUGAAUUUUCAAUUUUUAAAUUUGAUUAUCUUUCACAAAUUCUCACAAAGUUUAAUUUUUUCAAGCGAAAUUCACUAGUUUUUUUUCAAUAUCUACUAUCACUUACUUUCAAUUCAAAUUUAAAUUUUAAUAUCCCCUAAAAUAAAAAUAUUUCUAAUUUUAAUUUUAAUUUUAAAAAAAAUAAAAAGAUUUGAAUUGAGAUGAAAAAUUAAAAUAAAAAAUGAAGGUGGUGCGGGGGNNNNNNNNNNNNNNNNNNNNNNNNNNNNNNNNNNNNNNNNNNNNNNNNNNNNNNNNNNNNNNNNNNNNNNNNNNNNNNNNNNNNNNNNNNNNNNNNNNNNNNNNNNNNNNNNNNNNNNNNNNNNNNNNNNNNNNNNNNGGGCGCGGGGAGGGGGCUGAAUGAGGGUGAAGGGUGGGGUGGGCUGGAUGGGAGGGUACUUGGGAGGGGGCUUUUUUAUUUUAUUUUUAAAAUUUAUUAUUUUUAAAUUUUAAAAUAUAUUUUUAAAUUAAAAAAGAUAGAGUGUAAAAAAGAUCCCUUUUUAUUUUUUUUAAUUUUAAUAUUAUUUUUAAAUUAUUUUAAUAUAAAGUUAACCAAAAAUUGACCCCACACUCACCCUAAGCGCGUAUGCACGCGCCUCAUCCUAGUCAGCCAUUUUAAUGCCACAUAGGACCGGUCAACGGUCAAAGAGUAUAAAAUAUUGCUUUUUAAUGGGUUCAAGGGUCGAGAUGACAAACAUGUAAGUAGGAGUAUCCACAUUAUAAAACGGACAUAGUACAAGGGUCCACUGAACCAUUUUGCCUUUCUUUAUUUUUAACUUAAAAUUUAUUUAAAAUGACCCCUUUUUGUGUGAAACCUCAAAGAGUUUUCAUACAAAAAAGUAGACAAGGAGAUGAUUAUAUAUUAAACUCGAGGAGGAUAAAAAAUUACGUGUCUACAUUUUUCCCCUUUUUGUGUGAAACCUCAAAGAGUUUUCAUACAAAAAAGUAGACAAGGAGAUGAUUUUUGAUCCUCCAAUUAUUCAAAAAGUAAGGAUAAAAUAAAAUUAAAAAAAAGAUGUGACCGAGUCCUAGUUUUGCACCGUCUACAUAUCUCGAAUUAUAAAGGAAUCAGGUCACGUGUAGUUCAAAGGUAAAAUGGUGAGAGAAAGAGUUAGAGGUCGAGUGAGGUUCCGUCGAGUUUCCGGUUCACGACUUUUGUUUUUUACAUCCAAAUGACUAACAAAAAAUAAAAUAAAAUAAAGAUACAAGUGAAAGAUCAUAUUUGUGCUGCUUUUCUGGAAUCUUGACUUGAAUCUUCGUAACUUCUCAAAGGGUGAGAUAGUCGUUAUUCUGAGUUGAACUUGACACACGAAAUAUUUCUUCUCGUUGGCUUUUGGCAUUAGAGAGGAACUUGAUAAUUGAUUUAUUCUUCAAAUUUUCCUCUGACUUGAACUUGACAAUCUUAACCCUAUUCUUCAGGCGGGCUCCUGAACUUGCAACUGAUAAUGUUCACCCUAUUCUUCAGGCGAGUUCUUGAUCUGCUAUUUUUUCACCCUGUUCUUCAGAUGGGCUCCUGACUUGCUAUUUCUUCACUCUGUUCUUCAGACGGGCUUCUGAGCUCAAAGAAAAUAGUGAAACAGAAAAAAACAUCCCAUUCUUCAGAAGGGUCCUGUGUAUAAAAUAAAUUUCCAUUCUUUAGGAAGGUCCUGUGCAUAAAAUAAAUUUUCAAUCUUCAGGAGGGUCCUGGACAAAAAAUAAAUUUCCAUUCUUUCGGAGGGCCCUAUCCUAUUCUUCAGGAGGGUCCUUAACAAAAAAUAAAUUCUCAUUCUUCAGGAGGUUCCCAAGCAAAAAUAAAUUUUCAUUCUUCAGGAGAGUCUUGUCCCACUCUUUAGUAGGGUCCUGAGCAAUUAAUUUUUUAUUCUUCAGGAAGGUCCUGUUCCAUUCUUAAGGAGGGUCAUGAGCAAAAAAUAAAUUUUCAUUCUUCCGGAGAGUCCUGAGAAAUAUUAAAUUACCAUUCUUCAGGAGGGUCCUGAGGGAAAAAUAAAUUCUCAUAUUUCAGGAGGUACUUGUCCCAUUCUUCAGAGGGUUCCUAAGCAAAAAAUAAAUACCCAUUUUUUAGGAGGGUCUUGAACAAAAACUAAAUUCUCAUUCUUCAGGAGGGUCCUGAACAAAAAUAAAUUCCCAUUCUUCAGGAGGAUCCUGAGCAAAAAAUAAAUUUCCAUUCUUCAGGAGGGUCCUGAGCAUAAAAUAAAUUUCCAUUCUUCAGAAGGGUCCUAUCCCAUUCUUCAGGAGGGUCCUGACCAAAAAAUAAAUUCUCAUUCUUCAAGAGGGUCCUUUCCCAUAAACACGAACAAAAUUUUUGCCCUAGUUUACAUUAAAAAAAUUUGUGAGUGUAAUCAGAUCAAAACUUUCAAAAAGUACAGUAAAAAGGGUGAAUUAAGCUCCUGCUAAAGAAAUGUGUCUCUUUGGAGUAAAACUGAUGACCAAAUUAGGAAGUGCGUCUUCUAACACAUGAAACUUAAAUUACCCAGACAAGGAAGUGUGUCUCCUAAAGGUUAAAUGAAAUGACUCAACUAAAAAGUGUGUCUUCUAGGAGUGGAGGUUCAAGUUAAAAAGUGCGCCACCUAACAUAUGAAACUUAAAUUACCCAAACUAGGAAGCGUCUCCUAGGGGUUAAAUAAAAGGACUUGACUAGAAAGUGCGUCUUCUUGAAGUAAUGGUUAAAGCUAGGAAGUGCGUUACCUAACACAUGAAAACUGACAUACCCUGACUAGGAAGUACGUUUCCUAGGGGUUAAAUGAAAUGACUCAACUAGAAAGUGUGUCUUCUAGGAGUGGAGGUUCAAGUUAAAAAGUGUGUCACCUAACAUAUGAAACUUAAAUUACCCAACUAGAAAGUACGUCUUUUUGAAGUAACGGUUCAAGCUAGGAAGUGUGUUACCUAACACAUGAAAACUGACAUACCCUGACUAGGAAGUGUGUCUUCUAGGAGUUAAAGGAAAUGACUCGACUAGAAAGUGCGUCUUCUAGGAGUAAAUAUUUAAGUUAGGAAGUGUGUUAACUAACACAUGAAAACUGAUAUACCUUGACAAGGAAGUGUGUUUCCUAGGGGUUAAAUGAAAUGAUUCAACUAGAAAGUGUGUCUUCUAGGAGUGAAUGUUCAAGUUAAGAAGUGUGUUACCUAACACGUGAAAAUUGACAUACCCUAACUAGAAAGUGCGUCUCCUAAGGGUUAAAUGGAAUGAUUCGACUAGAAAGUGCGCCUUCUAGGAGUGAAUGUUCAAGUUAGGAAGUGCGUCACCAAACACAUGAAACUUAAAUUAUCCAGACUAGAAGGUGUGUCUCCUAGGGGUUAAAUGAAAUGACUCAACUAGAAAGUGCGUCUUCUAGGAGUGAAUGUUCAAGUUAGGAAGUGUGUCACCUAACACAUAAAAGCUAAAAAUAUCCAGACAAGGAAGUGCGUCUCCUAGGGGUUAAAUAAAAUGACUCAACUAAAAGGUGUGUCUUCUAGGAGUAAUGGUUCGAGUUAGGAAGUGUGUCACUUAACAAAUGAAAACUUAAAUUACCCAGACAAGAAAGUGUGUCUCCUAGAGGUAUAGGAUGAUAAGUUUCUACCAUGAUUGUGAUUACUAAACAUGUGUAGCAAUAUUGCCGCUUGCAUUUGCAAAAGUGAGGAAUUGCAUCUUUCUGAUAUUUAGGCUUUGAAGCCUUUCAUUUGAAGAUAACAUGUGUUCUUGUUUCAUGUAACGAGAACUUGUGAGUUUUAAAAACAUGGUGGUUGAUUUGUGGCUUUAGCUUUCGAGGUAAUUGCUCUUGCAUUUUUCAUACUCAGCUACAUUUCAAAUCAUUGAUAAGUAUCGUUGACUUGUCGUAUUCUUGACCCUUAAUUCUGACUACUGAAACUCUUGACUCAAAUUGUUUUCUCUUGUCAGAUGCCUCUGAGUUUAAUUUCUAACACACCUUUUAUCUUUUCACGAGUCCAAAACUGUCAGGUCAUAAACAUUCCUGAGUUCCUUGCUUUAUUUUUGAAAUAUGUUAUCUGUGUGCGCCAGUCCUUUGUUUUGCUUUAUACAAUUGAAGAAGUUGGUAGCAAGUUUUGAAAUCCUUCCUCAUUCGUCUUGACAUGAAUUUGACUCAAAAAAUACGUGAAAGAUGACAAUAGUGAUUUAUCAUUUGACAACAAAUAUACAAAAAUAAAAAAUAAAAUAAAAAUAAUUAAAAAUAAUAAAAAGAAAAGAAUAAGACAAUAGGCAUCUAUUUUUUGAAACGACAAAAAAAAAAAAGAAAACAUAUUUGAGUGUGGUAUCCGAUUCCAAUGAUUACGCAUGCAUUUUGAAUUAAAUCACCUGAUCUUUCUAUACUUAUCAUGAUCAAUUUUUUUCCCUUUUAUUGAAUAUGAAACUAAUCCAAUAUUGAACUUGUCCUUUCCAAAUUAUAAUCCUUCUCCCGCUAGUGGCAUCUCAAUGGGUUUUACCAACGAGCCUAUUUCAUUUUCAUUUCUUUCUCUGCUCACCGUCAUGUUAUGGUGUUCAAAUGAAUUUUUAUCGAUAAGACUCUCUCAUUUUUUGUUAUUCACACAACUCACUAUCGUCUUAUGAUGCCCAAGAGGGUUUACACCAGUAAGACUUUUUUUUAAAAGAAAAUGAUGCCCAAAGUAUGAAACAUGAUGCACUCAAACAUGUUUAGCCUUGACAUUCUCAAAGAUCGAUCUGAAGGUCUUUCUUUGGUUGUAACUUAGCUUUUGGAAAGGGUUAGAAGAAAAGGGCGGCAUAAGGCUCAAAAAUAUACAUGACAUUGGGUAAAGUUUACAACUUUCAGAAUCGACUCAUAAAGAAAAUAAUUUUUGCCCCAAUUUUAUUUCAUACUGGGUAACUUGAUUUUUCACUUUGUUGGACCGAACCUCAGAGUAUGGCUGCCUACAUAUCUUUUCGUAUCAAGAAUCAGUUAAAACGUAGUUCAAACAUCUUAUUCUUUUACUUGAUUUUCUUUUUUUUUUUUUUUUCUUUACUUUUUCUUGACUUUUCUCUCUUCUUCUUCUUUUUUUUGAGAGAGAUUUUUCCUGAUUCUAUUUCUUUUCUUUACAUUUUUUUGGAUCUAUUCUUUAUCUUGACACUUUUUUUUUUGAAUUUUUUCAGACUCUAUUUUGAUUCCAAAAUAGGUGUAUGAAAGAAAAUAAAAUUAAAGCACAAAGGGGAUAACAAAGGAUGACACAACAUUUGGAUAGAAGAAUGAAAUGUCUUCGUCAUAUCAAUCCUUAAAAAUGCAAGUACAUAACAUGCAAUGAGAGAGUGCAACAUAAAAAUCAUGCACAUCUUUUCAACAUUGGCCUUGACUGAGCAAGUACACAUGUGUCACUUCUUUUAAGCUUGUGAAAUAUAUAGGCCCAUUUGUGUUGUACUUUCCUCACAACAGAUGACUUUUUUUUUGUUGCUUCUUCUAACCGUGGAGAUUAUAGAUCCUCUGAUUAAUCUUCAUUCAAAUUUCUUGAGAUGCACCUUCUCAUUUAUAACCAAUUUUUUGAUUCACAAAGUGAUUGUCUCAAUUCAUUCAAAUGAGGCUUUGAUUCGGUCUUCAAGCAUCUCAAAACUUUACUUAUUUUCUUUUUUCAAUUUUAACUUCUUGACUCAAUACUUUAGGAUUAGAUUAGAUUUAAAGAUCAGUUUGUGAAUUCAACAUGCAUAUCACUUCACUAGAAUCACCAUAGAAAGAGCUCUCUAAGGAAAAGAAAGACAACCAAACAAUAUAUAAUGAAAAAUAAAAUAAAAAAAUAAAAAGAAGAUACAUUUGUUGACAGAAAGAUAGAAGAAUUUGAAUAGAAAUGAUAAUAAAAUAAGACAAGAUAGAUCCCAAACUCUAACCCUAAAAUAAUUUGGGUAGUAGAAAGAAAAAUAAAACAGACUACCAAAAAUCCUUCCUCGUGGAGAGCAGACUGACUUCUAAAUUGUCGAACUUAAUAUUUUAGCCACUGAUUUGCACAUCGGCCUUAAUGGAGUCUCCACAAUCAUUGCUAGAUCAUCUGUUUUUCUUUUUGAACCCAAUCAUUUUAAAUUUAUCACCGUCAAACUCUCCGCAAAGUAAGUCGUCACCAGUUUCUCUUUCUCUCUAUUCUUCUUAAUUGAUUUCAAAACCUUUUUAGACGAGCCAAAGGAUCACCAUGACCCUUCUACAUGUCCAACUUUGAUGUUUUAGACUCUAGAGACAAAUGAACAUUGUGAAUUAUGUACAAAUUCUUGUAAGGAUUUUUUUUUUAAGUAUUUGCAUGUUCCUCAUAUUUUGCUCCAAAUUUCUCACUUUCUAGACAAUUUCUUCUUAUUCCUCAUUUCUAAAAGUCUACACCAACUCAUCUCAGACCUUAUACCAUUUUUUGUAGAUCAUCUUGCCUGUUCUUUGGACCUGGUGUUGUAUGGAUGAGAAGCCAAUUUAGCCACAAACCAACCACUUUAAUACUAUUUUGGUUUUGGUGAAAACUAAUGUGUCAGAGUUUAAAUUUUUUUUAAGACCACCGAAUCUAUGAAGGACUGCCUACGCAUCUCAUUAAGAUGAGAAUCAGGUGUGCGUAGUUCGUGAAAUAUAUGUCGUACAAAACUCAACAUCAAGGCCCCUAAAGCUUUAGGGCUGUUAAGAUUUAUAUAUAUUUUUUAUUUUGUAAAAACUUAGCCUCAUGACCCCUAAAGAUUCAGGGUUAUUAAGAUAUAUAAAAAUUGGACUUAAGAAUUAGAAAAAUAAUUAUGAAAAUAAUCAUAUUUUCAAAAUAUUCUCCAAUAAAUCUAUGAAUAAUUUUCAAAAGAUAGGGUCGUGCCUCGAAAAGGGCUUCUUUAAAUUGUGAGAAUCAGACCCUCGUAGUUCAUGAAUAUCUUAAAAAACAUAUGUAUAUUUUUAAUUUCUUUGAAAAAUAAUUUAUUAAAUUUAAGGACAAUAUACUCUCUUGUAUUUUACUAAGUUGCCUAAAAGUUGGUCAACAAUCAAAUAGCCUUCCAGACAAAUGUGAAAGAGCACGUAGGAUGCACAUGUUGGUCAUUAUAAAAUAGGUCACCUGUUCUAGAUAGACCCAUCCCCUGUGCCGAACCCCGCUAAGUCAAAUGCAUAUGAUGCAAAUAAAGCAAAACCUAAUCGGAUAACUAGAUUCUGAGUUUCAGUUCUUCUAAGUUUAGCUUAAUAGGGAUAUGUGUCUAGACUGACUUACCCGAGCGAACACUCGAGUCGGGGAGGGACAACUUGUUUAGUAGCAGUGCUACUCCGCCUUUGUUGUCAAUCCGAAACCCGCCUAACAUGUGUAACUGCAAUCCUUCACUAGGUGUCUUGACACUCUGGCUAGCUCGAAAAGAAAGUAGGAUGCAUACGUUGUAUUCCUUAUAUCUUAUUUCAGAGACUCAGAGAGGGAAGCGCCAGAGAAAAUAAUUUAUAAUACAAUUCAAUAAUAUCAAAGCAGUAAAUAAGUGACAAAUAGCACAUAAGACCAACAAACACAAUAUAAAAUAAUUAAAGCAAGUAAAGUCAAUAUCAAAAGCUCGAAUUCUAGUUGAUCCCCAGCGAAGUUGCCAGAGAUGUCACACCCCUUUUUCGCUCGAGGUUCGAAUCGAAAGAUUUUCCCAAUAAAAGUGACAAUAUUGAAUAGGGAUUAUUUUAUUUACAGAGUCGCCACUUGAAAUUGAGUUAUGGUGUUCCAAGUCACCUUUUUGAAUCACUAGUCAAAAGGAAAUGACUCUUAUUUGGUCUACGAAAAUAGAAAACUGGGUAAGGAAUUCUGUUGAUCGAGGAAAAGGUGUGAGGCACCCCUCGAGUCCCGUGGUUCUAGCACGGUCAUUUUAUUGACUUAUACUUAACUAAAACUAUUUUUUAUAAAUUAUGUUAAGGCCUAAAAUAACUCAUUUUUAAUCAUUUUGAAAACUUGUCUAUUAUCUUAUAUUUAAAUAAAUAGGUGAAAUUUAAUUUUAGAAAAAUAUUUGUCAAGGUGCAUUAUUGCAUCCUUGAAUUAUUUUUAAAUGUUUCAAAAAGAUGUGUAUGCCGCAUUCUUAAUUGAGACAAAAAUUUUAAAUUUGCCUAAUGUUAAAAGCUUACCUACUCGAAAUAGCAUGUAACUUUAAUAGUAAAUUUGAGCAAAAUUCAUUUUAAGAUGAUCAAUUAAUUUAAUAAAUAAAUAAUUAUUAAACUUCAUUAGUUAUAAUAAUAAUAAUAACAAAUAAAAAUAACAAAUAAUUAAGAAAAUACAAUAAAAAUAUAUAAAUAAACAAAAAUAAAUAUAAUUAAUAUAGUACUAAAAAUAUUAGCUUAUUUAUUUAAAAUUUAAAAAGAAAAAAAAUACGUUAAAUUUUUGUAUUAUUUUUAAGAUAAAAAUAAAAAAUAAAAUAUUCAGAAUGUAACUUUAUUUAUUUAUUUAUUUAUUUUUAACUAAAAAUUUAUUUAAAAUGACAUAAAAUAAAUAUUGGACGAAAAUAUAAAUAUUUAAUAUCGAAAAAAAUAUAUUAAACUCGGGAAGGGUCAAAAAUUACGUGUCUACAGCACCCAUUAAAAAAAUAUUAACUAAAAACUACACCAUCCACAACUUAAGUUUCACUUAUUAAAAAAAAUUCCAUCUCUCUAAACAUAUUACAAAAAUCUCAUUUUUCUCUAAAAAUACAUAUACAUAGCUUCUAGGUAUAUGUCGGCCCUGUAUGUAUAUGAAUUGGCUUUGCUCUGUAUAUGUCGACCUUGUUAUGUAGAUGUCGGCCUUGUCAUACUUGUUAUGUAUAUGAAUUGGUUUUGUUAUGUAUAUGUCGGUCUUGUCAAAUACAAAGAUUUCUAUGUAUAUGUCGGCCCUGUUAUGUAUAUGAAUCGGGAGAGAGAGUAAAUAAUUUUAAUAAGGUUGAGAUUUAUGUUAUUUUUAUAAAUAUUAAUUAGGUGCUUGUUUUACUAAAUUAACCUUAUUAAUAAUGCUUUGAAAGUAUAAAUGUGAGUUAUAUACUUCAUGUAGUCAUUUAAUAAUAGGGGUAAUUUUGGAAAAAACAUAAUAAAAUUCUCUUUGAUUUUAUAAAUGGGACAACUAAAUUGAAACAAAUAUUUUUAGCAAGAAGGCCAACUAAUAUGAAACGGAGGGAAUAAGCAUUUUAUGAAGUUUAGUAAACUUAAGUUGUGAUUUUGUGAAAUUUUCUAAAAUAUUAAUGGCCUGUAUUAAUGUGAUUCCCCGGAAAAAAUUUUCGUUAAGAUCUCGGAUGAAAAUGUGUUGAAUUCUAAUCUUUAUCGUGAUUAAUAAUUUUUCUGUGUGGAAUUUCUGGAUAUGCGAUCCGUCAUCGCGUAGAGCAUCGAAUAAGCUUUCCAACGAUAUGUGGAUCAUCCAAAACGGACACUCGAGCGAUGAGUUAUGAUCAUUCCGAUCUAACCGUGAAUAGUGGUGAACAGUAAAUGGCAGGAAAAAAAUACUGAGGCCAGGCAAAUUUUAGGGUCAACUUCAAACGAUCAUAACUCCUUUUACAUAAUGAUCUGGGUGAUCUACUAUAUAUCAACAGAAAGCUCUGAAAGUCCUCUUUCCAAUGAAAUUGGUUUCAUCCAAUUUGGCCAUCGGAAAAAAAAAGUUAUGGUCGAUCUACUUCAGUCUAUCAAAACAGUCCACCAAAGGACAGAUUUGACAUUAUUUGAUUUUUAAGGGUAUUUUGGUCAUUCCCACUCCAAUCCAUCCCGGUAAACCAUGGAUUUAAGUCCAUUAAGAGCAUUCAAUAGCUCAUUUUUUCUCCAAAAUUUUCUAAGGCUCAAACCCCAACCCUACUACUCCAAAUUUCAUCCUUCUAUGUCUCUUGAUUGAACCAUAGAAAUUUUAAAUUGAUUUGGGAUUCGAGUUGAUCAUGUUAAGGGCUUCGAGAAGCACCCUCUAUUUUUGUGAAUAAAGUUCCGGAGUCGGAAGUUCAUAUUCAUAUUCCAUUUUUAGGUAUGUGGGGCUUUGAACAAAAUUAUCCUUUCAAUCUUGUGUCCGGUAUUUUUGUUGAAUUACAUUGACAUGAGAUUUUACAUGUUUUACCAUGAAUUGGAAAUAUGGUUUUAUAUCUUAUAUUAUUGUCCAUGAGCUAUGGGAUUAUGUCAUCCGAUAUGUGUAUGAUGUUGAGAUGGAAUUAUGUCCAAAAAGUAUUUGAUUAUGAGAGUAUGAUGAUUUAAUUUGUUAAGCCUUGAUUUAUACUAUCAUUCCACUAUUUCCUUAUUAUGAAUUUAAAAUUGAUAUUGGAAAUUCUAUAUCCCUACUAUGGGUUGAUGUCUCAAGUACCUUUAAAUGAGAAUUGGAUGGCAAAUUGAGAAAUGUUGAUACUGAAGUUGCAAUGAGUCUUGGUAUUUUCCAGAUGGUUUUGAUGAGNNNNNNNNNNNNNNNNNNNNNNNNNNNNNNNNNNNNNNNNNNNNNNNNNNNNNNNNNNNNNNNNNNNNNNNNNNNNNNNNNNNNNNNNNNNNNNNNNNNNNNNNNNNNNNNNNNNNNNNNNNNNNNNNNNNNNNNNNNNNNNNNNNNNNNNNNNNNNNNNNNNNNNNNNNNNNNNNNNNNNNNNNNNNNNNNNNNNNNNNNNNNNNNNNNNNNNNNNNNNNNNNNNNNNNNNNNNNNNNNNNNNNNNNNNNNNNNNNNNNNNNNNNNNNNNNNNNNNNNNNNNNNNNNNNNNNNNNNNNNNNNNNNNNNNNNNNNNNNNNNNNNNNNNNNNNNNNNNNNNNNNNNNNNNNNNNNNNNNNNNNNNNNNNNNNNNNNNNNNNNNNNNNNNNNNNNNNNNNNNNNNNNNNNNNNNNNNNNNNNNNNNNNNNNNNNNNNNNNNNNNNNNNNNNNNNNNNNNNNNNNNNNNNNNNNNNNNNNNNNNNNNNNNNNNNNNNNNNNNNNNNNNNNNNNNNNNNNNNNNNNNNNNNNNNNNNNNNNNNNNNNNNNNNNNNNNNNNNNNNNNNNNNNNNNNNNNNNNNNNNNNNNNNNNNNNNNNNNNNNNNNNNNNNNNNNNNNNNNNNNNNNNNNNNNNNNNNNNNNNNNNNNNNNNNNNNNNNNNNNNNNNNNNNNNNNNNNNNNNNNNNNNNNNNNNNNNNNNNNNNNNNNNNNNNNNNNNNNNNNNNNNNNNNNNNNNNNNNNNNNNNNNNNNNNNNNNNNNNNNNNNNNNNNNNNNNNNNNNNNNNNNNNNNNNNNUUCUUACCAUGAUGUAGGUUCAGGUACUCAGCCGCAGCCGCGACAGUGAUAUCCGAGUGCCGCAUCUACGUUCCUUCAAUGGUGAGUCCUCAUGGUUCGAGGACCAAGUUGUUAGUUUUGGUGUUGUUGUUUUGUGAUCCCUUUGGUCUGUUGAGUCAGUUGGGGGUUUGUCCCAAUGGCUCGUUGAUUUUGCUGUAUAGAGGCUAUGCCAGACUAGUGUAUUGUUGGGUUGGUUUGUGUAUAGACAUUCCAUAUAUGUACAGUCUAACGAUAUUCCGUGCCAUGUGCGAUGUGAUAUGAUAUGUACUUAUAUAUAUAUCCUUAGUGUAGCGUGUAUGUUGUUGUGUUGGAACCCAAGGGUAGUGUUUUGGCUUAAAGGGUUAGCUUGAGGCUACGUGUAGCCUUGGGCACCGUGUGGCAUCUCGGGAUGAUAUUUUGGGGCGUUACAGUUAAAUUCUCUAAAAAGAUACACUAAUGAAGAAGACGCAUUAAUUAGCAAACUCACAAGUUGAACAAGAAUUAGAAAAUUACAAAGAAUAAUGACACAGUACAGGAGAACUUGUUUGUUAAAAAAAAAGAUCAAGAUGACAAGAAGAAAGGAACCAAAAACUGCAUUAAGCAAUGUUGUGAAAUGUGUUCCUUUCUUAUUAUUUUGUGUUAAAUCUGGUACUAUAUUGAAGAAGGGAAUGUCAAUCCCGAAGAUUGAAAUUUCUCCGACGUUAUGUCAUCAAUUGCUUUUGUCGUAUCCUCCGUCAAAUAAUUCUUCCAAUCGCCAAUUUCUCCAUUUCGAAAAAACAUACUGUUAUGAAGUCCCUGAGUUUCUGGCCGAUGCAAGCUGCUUUUGUUCACCUCUAAAUUGCUCAAGCUUUUGAAAUUACAGCGUGCUACGAUUUGUCCGCCAAUUUUUUCACAUAGUACAAUAUGUCCUUCUUCAAAUCUUCAUACUUCAAGAACAAUACUUUUUUAGGUCUCUCAACAUCAUGACUAUGAUUUGCUUCCCAAUAUCCCAACACGUGAUUCCAGUAAGGUCCAUAAGCCGCUUUGCCUUCACAAAACCACUUGAAUUGGUGUUCAAGUGUAAGAAUAUUUGCUACUGAUUCAUCUUGAUCAAAUAGCUUUUGAUUGAAUCGCCACAAAGAAACAAAGGUAUCUUUGGGUUCUCUACAUAUGUAAAUGAUCUUGCAAUUGGAUUCUAGUAUGGAUGGUGGUAAGUGAGUGUAAGGAACAUGUGUGGAUAAUAAUGACAACUCUGUUAGAAUUUUUUUUUUUUUAAUUUAAUUCUGCAAACAAAUAGGUCGGUGGGGAAAAUCAAACUCCCCACCUUGGAAUAGAAACGAUCUUUAUUCUUUUGUCAACAAAAAAGUUAUUAUUCAGUGAAUAGUAAAUAUAGGAUUUCCUAAUUCUAUUAUUUUCUAUAUCAAUCAGAAAAGCGAAUAGAGUUCCAUUACAUAUUGAUUAGCUCACUAAUCAAUAUCAAAUCUACAAAUUUAGGGUUGGAGAUUAAAUCAACUUCCAAGAAGGGAAGGCAAUC